rnacentral:lncRNA from 1 species
GAGUUGAGAGAAAGAAGAGAAACAAAAGGGCAGUGAUCAGAGCCUUGUUGUUGCCAGCCAUGUUCGUUUGUUAUAGAGAGGGUUGAGAACUUAAGAUUGGUUCUAUUCUAAUAUUCGUUUCUUGAUGAUUGUAGGCAGCGAACCAGACUUUUAUAGCCGUUUCUGACCGGACCGACGGGACCGAGUUUCUCAGACUAAUUGGCAAUUUGCCGAGGUCCAGAUGGGAUGAGCUAAUGUGAUCCUAUUCGAGUGGACAACAUGAAAUUGAGUGGCUCGAAUUGGAUCAAGCUGAUGUCUACUAUGGGAUGUAAACUAGCGUCAGCAGUUCUGGGUCUAUUUGGUAGGCCUACUUUUAGGACCAGGGCUAUGGGGGACAGUGACAAAACAGUGUAAGGAUUUUUGAAUUAAUAAUUUUGCAUAUUCUUAUAAUAGACAAACAAUUAUUAUACAUGAAAUUCAUAUAAAUAAUAAUACUCCCUCUGUCGAGGGAAGGAUGAAAACGCCAGACAAUUAGUACUCUCCCAAUUCCAAAUUGUUUGUCGCAUUUUUGGAUUCCAAUUUUUUAAAAAUAAUGACUUGGCGAUAAUAUUAAUAGAUUUUUUUGUAAAAUUGCACUAAAAAAUUCAAAUUUUAAAUUUAAAUUUAAUAUAAAAUAUGGAUAAAGAGUAUAUGACAUUGAAAAAAAGAAAUCAUAAAUAACUUUGACUUUGAUAAAUUGAUAAAUAUUUUAAAAUAUUUCAAAAUAAAAAAUAUGAAACUUCCAAUGUAACACUUUCAAAAUAAGAACCCGUGGUUCUCUUGUUUGCAAGCAAUGGUAUUGUGAAUUUUUUUUUUUGAUAAUAUGGAGGUGGGUUUACGCUUCCCGUCCUUUCAUUUUUUUCUUCCCCACCAGGAUCCCAACUUUAUUAAAAGGCUAGUGGCGUGGUGUCCGCAUGAGUAAAUUUCUGAAGAGCGUGAUUCUUAAGAUAUUCCAAAAGAAUGAUCUAAAAAGUGAAAAAAAUUAUUCACUGAAUGCAACGUUUUUCAAAAAUUGCAUUGAUAGGAUGCAUUCUUUAAUUUGUCUCCAUUUUUUUUUUCUUAAAAAUACAUUCAUUGAAUAUUAAAAAAUUCAUUCCAAAAGGGAAAAUGCACUUUUCAUCCAUAAUGUUUAAGGUGUUAAUCAAUUUGGUCUCUAAAGUUUCAUUUUUUUUUAUUUUUUUUUUUGUCAACACAGGGGUGUCCGGGUCAAGACCCGAAGGCGGCCCGACUAAUCCCCUGCGCCUGGAGUACAGCGCCACCCCAACCGCACCCAGGCGUUAGGUGAGGUUCGAUCCCACGACCUUGCGAGUGGUUUUCCACCCGCAGACCGGGUGAUCUAACCCCGGGGGCGUCUCUAAAGUUUCAUGCAAUAUACAUUUCAUUCUUGUAAUUUUAUAAUAUUGACUAAUUCCAUCUUUAAAGUGUUUCACGCAAACACAUUUCAUCCUUCAUAGUUUCAUAAUUUAGCUAACUGCGGACAAUUGAUAUAUUGUCAAGCAAUUUGAAUGGAAUAUCGUCGCUGGACCACAGCAUGCCCAUUAGUAAAAUUAACAUUGGAUCAACAAAAACUUCAAAAAACUUUUCUUAAUUCACUUUUUCAUUUUAGUACAUCAAAAACCUAAGAACCUUUUAGCGACCAUUACUUUCUUCUUAAUUACAAUCGAACAAGAAGAUCCAUAGAAAACAAAGUCUUUGAAAAGAAACAAUCCCACUAUAACCAAUUAGAGAAAAAUGUCAAACAACUCCACUACAACUAAUUGGGGAAAAAUAUUAAUGCGAUAGACAGAAUGGUUUGGAUUGUCAUUUAUUUGCAAAAUUUUGUUUUGUUACAUGAUUUUCAAUCAUCUAUUUGUUUUUAUCUUAAAUACAUCAUAUUACAAUUUUUUUUAAAAAAAGGAGAUAGUCUUCUAUCCAAAAACACUUGUUGUUAUUUUUGUAAUUUAAUUAAUAACUAAAUUAAGUAUUAAUAAUACAAUUACUAACGGGACAUGUCAUGAUAUUAUAUCCAAAUUAGUUAACAAUCAUUUAAUUAUCCUCAAUUGAUAAAAAUUAUAAAAUUAUGAGGAUGAAAUGUGUUCUACGUAAACUUUAGGAAUAAAAUUAAUCAAAAUGAUAAAAUUAUGAGAGUGAAACGUGUUUUGCAUGAAACUUUAGAAACAAAAUUAAUUAACAUCUUAAACAUUGGUAUGAAAAAUGCAUUUUUUCCGUUUCAAAAACCUUUAGAAAUUUGCUCAAGUCCGCACGCCAUAGUUGACCUCGUACAUUCCCAAUAUGUGUCUUAUCAAUGGAGAGGACAAAUACUGCCCUUCUUUUUUUGUCUUUUUUGAUUAAAUAUACUACCCUUCUUAAUCCAUCUCCUUUCUCAAAUACAACCUUUCAAUCCGCAAAGAGAAUCACUGACAAAACGGCAAAUUUCCAAUUUGUGGGCCCAUGGAACUGAUCAAUCGAAACAAACUCAAUAAUAUCACCCACACCAAAAUAAAUCCAAAAAAUUUGGUCAAGUGUAGAAUUAAUUUUUGGGGAACUCAGUACCACCUGCAUCAAAAUCAAUCCAAAAUUUUUAGUCAAGUCUACAAUUGAUGAAUGGGGCUCGGAUGGUGAGGUUUUUUUUUUCUUUUUUCACCUAAAGGUGCAAGCUUUGUUUGGACUUUGGAGAGUGGUUGCCAAAGGGCUGUAGGAGAAAAUAAUGCAGGCUCGGUUCUUUCGCUCGGGGGCAAUGAUGUACACAAAAAUAUACACUAAGUGGAUCGGAGGGAUUCGCGUCAACUAUAGAGCGUGAAUAUUUCCAAAAAAAAAAAAAAAAUUUCCAACAUGGGUGUGUUUGGAUAGGAUUUAUUUGCAAAAUAAUUAUUUAAUUGUAUCAUAAAUAUAUUUUUUAACACAUUUUUUAUCUUGGCAAUCACUUUUUUAUCUUACAUAUAUCAUAUUACAAAAAGCGCUACAAUAAUUAUUUCAAAUGAUAUUUUAAAUAAUCUCCUAUCCAAAUGUCAUUUUAUAAAAAUAGAAGUGUCUCUAUCAAUACUCAUAACAUUCUUUCAAUUUUACCCUACAAAAUCGAAAUUCAAAUAAUAUGGAGACAGUGGAUAAGAGUGGAGGAAAAAGGUAAAUGAAUAUGUUUUGAAUUUUGGAAUUAAAAUAAAAAACUUUUAGAACAUGGAAAACUAAGAAACAUGAAAUUUCAAUGGGACAGAAAAAAGUACUUCAAGUUAACAUAUAUCUAGUGGCUGUUACUAUUAAUUAGAAUGUGAAAACUCUAUUCAUUCAGAAAGAAAAACUAAAUAGAGAGAGAGAAGACAGAAAGUUGAAGUAAUGUUUACGGGAAAAUAAAAACAAAAAAUAAAAGAUAAGGGCCAAUUUAGAGGCUUAGUAUGCAUGUACAUGUACAUCAAAUGGAUGUAACAUGGGAGUCGCCUUUCCAACUUCUUAGAUUCCACCCACACCUUAUCUAAGGCGGCGGAAAUUCUGACCCCAUCCUCCUCACUGUCCCAUGUUUCUUCUUCCAACUAGGCAUGGCCACAGUUCCAAAACCGUCGGUUCUGGUUCUUCAAAGAGAUAGAACCAGAAUCGCACCAUAUAAGAUGGUUCUGGUUCUGGUUUCAGAACUGUCGGUUCUGGUUCUUCAAAGAGGUAGAACCAGAACCGCAUAGUUCUGAUUUUGGUUCCUUAUGAUUCUGGUUCUGAUUUCCGAUUCCGUAUAAUUGUAUACAAUUUUAUUUAAUUCCUUAUCCUUAUCAAUUUUAAUACAAAUAUAACAAUAUGUUUAAAAUUUCAAAUAAAAUGUAAACAAAUAAAUACAAAAUAAAGAUAGGUGACACCCAUGUAUACAAGUUUGGUGAGACUCCACAGCUGUUAGACUAGAGUACCAUACAGUUAGUUGGGUACAAGUUGUUAGAGUACUAAUGAUUUUGUAAAUAUCAAACCAACGUUAUCGUUAUGUUAAACCAAUUGUAUGGUAUUUUAGGAGUUUAGAGUUUCUUACAAGUUGCACUCAAAUAUAUACACGAUCAGCGCUAAUACGAAAUAAUCUAGGCAAUUAGUAUUCCAAGUAGGAAAACAAAACAAAACAAAAAUGCUUUACAAGCAACAACUAUUUGUCUCCUGAUAAACACAUGUAACAAUUAACCUCAAACAAAUGUACACAUUAGUAUCUUAAAGAUAAGAAAAUCAAACUAGUAAAAACCUUCUAAAAUAUAUCGCAAUAGCAUAAAAUUACCUCCGAUGAGUAGAAAUUGUAAAUAGAGGAUUUGUUUCGCGAUUCAUUAAUCAAGUCCUGAAGCAUUAACUGUCUACCAAAAAAUAAAAUUAAAUUGUGAAAGUAAGAAAGUAAAUAUCAAGUAUGUGCGUAGAUAUCUUACUGUGUGUUUUGAUGAGUGCCUCAAAGCAUCAGCGAGAAAAAUUCCAAAGUCAAAAUCACUUGACCAUCUUACCCCUCUUAUAGUUAUCACAUUUUUAUAUUUUGGAAGGCUUAUAAAAGUGGUUACCAUAGAUUAAAGUCAUCAUAAUAGAGACUAUUUGAAAAUUAUUGAUGGAGGACAAAAAGGAGAGAUUAGAAAAGGGGCAGCAUUAGCAAUACUUAGAUAUGCACAAGACUGGGAACAAGAGGGUGGAGAAUUGACAAUACUUAGCUACGUACAAGACUGGAGAGGGCUAAAUUUAAUUUCAAACACGUUGUUAGGUGGCAAACACUAAUUUGCUAAGGACCCACUUGAAAAACAAUAAUGUUUUAAUGUCAAGAAGUAGAAAUUUCAAGAUCUUGGGGAUUGGUCCCCCCCCCCCCCCACCUCCCAUUUCCCACGUUGAGGAUAUGUUGAUUAAAAAAAAAAAGAAAAGAAAGAAAGACUAGCAACACAUCCUUAUUCCUUAAACAGUAGGGUAGGGAACAACAUCAUUAUCCUUAAAAAACAGGGUAGGCAAUGUAUCCUCAUCUUGACUUGGAAUUCCUCUAGACCUUUGUCAAGAAGAAUUAAGGGUAGGAAUGAUACCAUUCUUGAAGGUUGAAGGGCAGGCUUAGUCAAAAAAAAAAAAAUGUAAGACUCAGUCAUUUUUUAUGUAUGUUAACUUUAGAUCGUGUUCAAAUAAAAGACUCGCAAUUGGUUUGAAAUGGACAAAAUUGUAUAACAAUUAUUCAGUUGCAACCAUUUGCGCCCCUAUUCUUGCCAACAAGGUCCAUCAACAAAUAUAUUUGAAAACAAUCACAACUGUCGUGUCCAAAAAUCAUUUUUACUUGAUCCUUAUUUAAUAGGAAGGUAGUAAAUUCAUACCUUUCUAUUCUAAAUUCACAAUAAAAUGGUAUAAGGUGUAGAUUUAGGAUGGAGAGUUGUGGAUUUAGUCCCUCUUGACUACUUUUUUUUUUUAAACCUCGACUAAUUUUUCUUGCAAUAAUUUAUUCAUCUUUGUUUGUCAAUUAUUCAUCAGAUUAUAUUGAAACAACUAAAAUUUCUAAUAGUUGUCCAAUUAUAUCAUUACUCUUUAUCUUGAUCAAUAGAUUAAUAUAUUUAAAAACAAAUCAAAUCAAUAAUGUAUAAGCAGCAAAAAAACACCAAAAUUUGACAAUGGUCAUCGCUCCAUCCACUAUAAAAUAAAAUAAAAAAAGCUCCAAUUAAUAGCAUAAUUGUAACUUAGCAGACUUAUUGAAAAAGACACUACUUGCAUAAAAAAUUAUAAAAUAAGACACAAACUGUAGACAAGUACUAAAAUCUUGACUCUAUACAAAAAUAUUGAAUAUUUAAAUAAAAACUUUCACAAUUGAUUUUUAAUAAUUUUUUCCAGCAAAUGAGGUGUGGGAUUUAAGAAACGAGAAGGGGGCAGGGGGAUUUGAACCCAAGACCUCUAGUAAAAAAUUUUUAGACUUGGUUUAUUUGUCAUAAUAAUAGGUGAUCAGUAGAUAUCAAUAAAUUCUAUGAAUUGGUUUCACACUCUCAAAUUAAGGGCCAUCUAAACCAUUUGGGAUUCCCUCCGUUGGCCGACAGAGCUCAUAAUUUGGUGUGAAAAUAGCCAGUUUCAAAUUUCUUUGCCGCAUAUAUGAUAUACUUUUUCAUGACUCUCAAAUUCAUCCGCAAUUUUCAAAAGUAAAUGAUAAAAAAAAACACGAUCCCAGUGUCUCUCACAUUAGAAUGGAAUCUACGACACAUUAUAUAGAUGGUAGGCACGUUAUCACUUAUCACUAUCAAUUUAAAGAAUCUGACGAUGUGCUUUCAAGGUGCUUUAAUAGUAAACAAAUUGAUUAAAUUUUUAUUGUCUUAUUCAAUUCUUUAUUAUGUCAAUUCACCCUUUAAAAUUUUAAAGCUGCUCUAUUUUAGCCAUUCUAUUAAUUUGCCUUAAUUACCUCAAAGAGAUUAACUAAGGCAAAUCAAUAGUGAUAGUGCACUUCUUCUUCUUCUUCUCAUUUUCUAUUUUUUUUUUUUUGGAAAAUGGUGCACUUCAAUCUGAGAUAGCUAUCAAAAAGAAAAUAAUAACAAAAUAUCUUCAAUAAGCAAAUUAAAAAUUUUGAAUAAUUUUGUCGAGUCUAAUACACUUUAGCCUUUGAUCCAUUAAUUUAAUAAACUGAAUGUCAACCAUGGGAACUUUAUCUAUUGCCCAAUUCAUUCAAUGUGAAAGGAAAAACUUUCCGAUGGAAGUUAAAUAGCUCAAACCACAAAUGCUUAGAACUAAUACAUCUAAAGUUUCUACAUGGAAAAUAUGCAUAUGCGACUAGACUCAUUUAAACUUUGGCCUGCCCCAUCCAUAUGGAUCGGAGAUCUGGGAAGCUAGGGUUUUGACUUCAAUUGUUUUCGAUUACUGCAAUUCUUAUAAAACUUGGUAUAUAUGUGCACAUAUGGUUGCAUUUCUUAUAAUAUUUAUAUACAUGAGCAAAAUUCACACAUAUAAUAAAGUAAUAUAAUUAUGCAUCAAAUCAUGUAAAAAAGACGAUAAAUAUUCACUACCGUACACAAACACAACCAUAUCUACUCCAUUCUCAUGGGUGGCAGUUGUAGACAUGAAAUAAUAUUAUUUCAAUAUGCCAUCACAAAGAUAAAGACUCGUAGGUGAUGAGUACAUAUAUGCCAGUAAUCUUUUUUCUUUUUUUUUCAAUCUUUUUUUUUUUUUUUGGCAAGAAGUUCAUCAAUAACACCUAAAUUAACCCCACAAGAUACAACCCAAAGGCUAACUUUUGGUUGCACCCAUGAAACUUAAGUAUUACUCACGCACACACUCAACAAAUGAUGUGAGACAUAGGAGAGGGAACAGGGGAGUCUCUACUAAGCACUAACUAGCACUCACUCACUCUUGUUUUUUUUUCAAUCAUGAAUAUCAAUAAUCCAUAAAAAUGAAAGAUGGACUUUUAGAACUAUGAAGUAGGACGGACUUGUUCCAAGGAUCUUUCUCGCUGUUGAAGGUGCGAUUGAUUGAGUUGACAUCAAGAAGAGAAAGAAGAAAUACAGCGAUCAGAGCCUUGCUAUUGCUAGCCAUUGUCUUUUUUAUAGAGAGGGUCAUAAGAACUUAAUAAUGUUUCUAUUUUAUUAUCCUUUCUUGAUUUUUUUUCAUAAAAAAAUUGGGUGGAUACAAUUUUGAUUACCAUAGUGGGUCAGAACAUAUUCUCGGGACCAUAGGUUAGUUAUAGGAAUUCUUAUAGAUUGUUCAUCAAUGUAGUCCUCGCAUCGGCAGUUGAAUCCGAAUAUAUGCCCUUUUGUAAAGUGAUCUAUUUUUAUCAAUUGAACCAACUUGUAUUUGACUAAUGAUAGUUGCAUGGAAUGAAUCAUACUUUUAUAGUCCGGACCGAGUUUCUCAACAAUUACAUUGACAAUUUCUGUCUUAGGUUAGCAGUCCAAAUGGGAUGAGCUAACAUGGUCCAAUUAGAGGGGUCAACUUGAAACUUCAUUUAAAUUGAGUGGCUCGAAUUGGGUCAUGCUGACAUCUAAUAUGGGACGUGAAGGGUAUAGAGCCUUUCUAGUUCCAAUUCUCUCCAAUUGUGUAAACUAAUAAAAUUUUGAUAUAAAUAUAAUUUAUAAUUGAAUUGGUGCAAAACUCACGAUUAUACCAAAAAUCUAUUAGUGUACACCAAAAUUGUGCCAGUUUAUUCAAUUAGACGGCAUUCGAUCGUACCUCAACUGGAAAAGCCCCGAAUUCGAACGUAAACUACUCCCAGUAAUUGCAAUCGCUGAUUGGACAAGAACCUUAAGACCCAUAAUCAGAAUAAUUCUAUACGAAAUUCAUGCACAGAGAAAUAAAGGCAUCAUCGAAUUGGAGACUCGUGUCUUUUGUUAAGGAGGUUGAGGGAAGGACGAGGAUAUUAACGGAUGAAAACGUAGGAUAAUUAGUAUUUGUUUGCCUUGCCACUGCUUGUUGGGUAAGAACUGGUGUUUCUUUUGUUUGGAAGCUCUGGUAUUGUAAUUUUUUGAUAACGUGAAGGUGGGUUUACACUCCCUGUCCUUCUUUUCUAACCCUGUCCUCCCUCUUACCCCUUUCGAGAACCCUAACUUUUUGAAAAGAUUAGUGGUAUGGUUUCCACACUAGUAAAUUCUCAAAGAGUGUGAGUUUAUAAAAUUUCCCAAAUGAUGAUGGUUCUUUAAUUUGUCUAAAUUUUGGAAAUUUUCUCGUAUCCACACUCCAUAUUUGACUUCGUGUAUUCCAAGCAUAUGUCUUAUCAAUCGAGAGGACAAAUAUGAUCAUUCUUAAUCCAUCUUCCUUCUCCUAUACAACAUUUCAAUCCACAAAGAGAUUCGUGGACCAUGGAACUCAAUAUCAGUCACAAAAUAGCAAAUUUCCAAUUUGUGGACCAUGGAACUCAAUAUCACAAAUACAACCCUUCUUAAUCCAUAUUCCUUAUCAAAAGUUACGUUCAUAAAAUAUGUACUUCUUUACUUUGUCUAAGUUUUGAAAAUUUUCUUGUGUCCGCACUCCAUAUUUGACAUUGUACAUUCCAAGCAUGCGUCUUAUCAAUGAAGAGGACAAAUACGACUAUUCUUAAUCUAUCUUCCUUCUCCUGACAACCUUUCAAUCCACAAAGAUAUUCACUCAUAGAAUAGUGAAUUUCUAAUUUUAUGGACUCGUGGAACUCAAUAUCAACUGUGCCAAAAUCAAUCCUAAAACUUUAGUCAAGUCUACCAAAUGAAACUUGGAUGGUGAGGGUUUUGGAUCAACCAAAAGGUGGUGAGCUUUUGUUUGGAGAGUGGUUGCCAAAGGCCUAUAGGGGAAAAACGAUGUAGGCUUGGUUCUUUCAUUAUGGCAAUGGUGUUAACAAAAAUAUGAACCAAGUGGAUUGAAGGGCUUUGCAUCAAAUAUGGAACAUGAAUAUAAUCUCCUUUUAUAAAAAUAGAAGUGUCUAAAGCAAUACUCAUAGCAUUCUUCCAAUUUUAUCCUAUAAAAUUGAAAUUCACAUGAUAUGGAGACAAUGAAUAAGAGCGGGGGAAAAAGUAGAUGAAUACGUUUUGACCUUUGGAGAUAAAAAAUUUUUACAACAUGUAAAACUAAGAAACAUAAAAUUUCAAUGGGACAGAAAAAAGUACUUCAAAUUAACAUAUAUCUAGUGGGAGUUACUAUUAAUUACAAUGAGAAAACUCUAUUCAUUUAAAAAGAAAAAAACACAGAGAGAGAAGAGAAAUUUAAAUUAACGUUUAGGUGAAAACAAAUAAAAGAAUAAGAUAAGAGGCAAUUUAGAGGCUUGAUAUGCAUAAUGUCACUGUGGUUAAGACAGCUCCAGUCAGGCUAAAUAAAAAAAGGCUUGGUAAGCCUAAUGUUUAAUUGGGCUAAAUAGAGAUUAGACUUGAAUAUUAGGCCCAAAUUAAAAACGAGUUGGGUUUUGACUUUGCUAGAUUUAGGCUCAAUUAAUGCCCACUGGUGUAUAAAUAUUAUUAUAUACAUAAAAAUAUAUAAUAUAAUUAUAUAUUAUAGCAUCGAAUAUUAAUAACUUAUAUAUAAAUUUAUAGUAAUUCAUAAUUAUUAAACAUAUAUUAUGUAUAGAUAUGUAUUUAAUUAUGAGCUCGAAUUGAACCCAAAACUCAUCUAGAAUUGUGAACUGAGUUUGAGCCUUUUAAUUGGACUUGAGCUUGAAAGUCCAAAAAUCUAAAAGCUCUCUUAGUUCAUAAGUCAAGUUUGAACUUGUAAAAAUUCAAUUCAGAGGUCUCGAUGAACAGUCCUACAUAUACAUAUAUACAUAUAUAUAUAUAUAUACACACACACACACACACACACACACAUACACAUUAAGGCUUUUCCAGCUUGUCUCUUAUGGUGAUGGCUAGGGGUGGCAAUUUUCGACACGACUUGAAAACACGACACGAACCUAACACGAAAUUAAUGGGUUUGGGUUGAGGUUUCGGGAAUUCGGGUCAGAAUCGGGUUGGACCCGAUGAACCCGAAAAGAAAACAGGUCGAUUUCGGGUCAACCCGUGGUGACCUGAUAUGACCCGAUAUGACCCGUUUACGAAUUAAAAAUAAUUUAAUAAACAUAAAAAUAAUUUUAUCUAACUAAACUAAGUUAUUCUUUUUUUCAAAGGCAUUAAUUACUUAAUCCUAAAUGAAUUUAUUUAAUUUGUGUGAAGUUGAAAUUAUUAUAUUUGGACAAAUAAUAUAUUAUAUUAUUUUUUACUUUUAUAUUGUUUUAAUUUAUUUUGUAUUUUGUUUGGGAUAAAACACUUUUACGGUGUUUAAUUUAUUUUAGAUUUGGUUUGGAAUUAUUUAUUUAAAUUUUUAUUACUUGAUUAUGUAAUUAGUUUUGUGAGAAAUUGAUUUUAUUAGAAAUUACAGUGAUAAAUUAAUAAAUUAAAAUUAAGUUUCGGGUCAUUUCGGGUCGACCCGCCAACCCGUCAACCUGAAAUUUUCGGGUUCGGGUCAACAGAUUUUCUGGCGGGUUGACCCGACCCUGACCCGCCAACCUGAUUUGGACCCGAAUUGCCACCCCUAGUGGUGGCGGCGGCGCCUGCCCCGGCAAAAGGGGGGGUUUAAGGCGAUCUCACCCUUUACUCCCUGUUCCCCCAUGUUUAACUUGCAACCCCAUUGCCAUUCCGAUGGAGAAUAGUGCUCGCUAACAAGUCUGGGCGAUCAAGUACCUUCUUCAAUGGGGUAUGAUGCUGGGUGACAGGUGCCGAACCUAUGCAAUAAUAAUAAAUAAAACCAAACUACCACCAAAAGUAGCCAAUAAUCAAUUUUAGGUACUGGAGCAGGAACUCUAGGUGUGCAAUGGGUUACUUGAUUCACCCUGUUCCCGAAGAGUUUGUUUAAUCCGAUAUACCCGAAUUAAUUAUCUGACUAAAUUCACUAACUAGUAGACAGUGGCAAGCAGGGUCGUCUCCUGAGGGACUGGGGAGAAAUUUAUUUCCUUUCGAAUCAAAACAAAUAGGGGGUUUUAGAAUUAAAAGCUAACUAAAUAAUUUAACUGCAGAAAAUAAUUAAUUAAAAGAAAUAAUUAGGAGAGCUCUAGCCAAGGGUACACUUCAAAAAUGGUUCAUGCACUGAUCAUCGACUCACAGAUAAUUCCAACAUUUAUUAAUAGAUUAGUUAUAGUUGUCAUGCACGCGAUAAACAACCAACCUUUUUUUAAUUUCUCGAUAAUUAAGGUACGACCGUUAACUAUUUCUCUAACCCAGAAACAACCCUAGGUACGACCGUAUGAUUUAAUUUCUGGUUUGCAUUAAGAUUUAGAAAAGUUCAAUCCUAACUAACAAACACGCUACGAGGGUUUGUUUAAAUUAGAUUGUAUGUUUCCCUGACAUAAACCCAAUUACGCCAGUUGCUACUAGGACGAAAGUAAUCGAACAAUUACGGAUUCAACUACUCCCAAUUAGCAAGUAGCCUACGUGAAUAAUUAAAUAUUGCGCAUCUACUCAAUCAUACACGAUGGCUAUAACAACAAUUAAAAGCAGAAAACACACAAAUACCAAUGAAUGAAGGAAACAAUUAAAAUAAUUUAGAUCUCACAGUUAUUGUUGAACCAAGUCUUCAGUUGUCCCCUUGACUAAAAGUAGAUGAUUAGUUCUCCAUUAAUGGAGAACAUGCCAUGCGAAAAAGCUAUCUGAAGCUUACAAAAUUGUUCCUGGCCAAAUCGGCCAACCCCCUCAAAGCAAAACAAUUUUUGCUCUUUUUAUUUUGUCUCCCGUGAAAAGAAGAUCACCCGAAUUUGUUGCUGGCUCCGGUCUUCAUCCCGCGAGAUCCGGCAUUUUCUCCCUCAAAUCCAUGCAAAGGAAAUCAAAAGCCAUUCCUCUUUUGGCUCUAGCCUCUCAAAAGAGAGCUAAUCUCCCAAAUCAUAAUCCCUAUUUUUUCUCCUAAUUGUUUGGUAAUCUAAUCCCAAUCCAACUCCUAAAAAGAUUCCUAUUACAAAUCAAUUUCCUCCAACUUUUCUUUUCUUUGAGAAUGAUCCCCGAAAUUAGGAGAGUCCUGGCAGCUAACAAAUUAGGGAGUUGACUUGGAUUGGGAGACUAUCCAAUAUCAAUCCUGACUUUCUGGCCUUGAAUGUAGGUCCCGAAUGUACCAUCAUCAAAUUAAUUGAAAAAUUAUCACUUUUAAUCACGUUUUGCUCAUUUUCCUACAAUUGGCAUCAUUAACCAAAUAUAAGUAGAAUCUAUCAAUUAAAAUAAUAUUUGGCUAAAAUCAAGGAAAAAAUAAUUAUUAAUUUAGCAACAAAUUAUGACCUAUCAAUUUCCCCCACACCUAAACCAUGCUUGUCCUCAAGCAUGAGAACACAAAUCAAGUAAUCAAAUUCAAACAAUGGUAUUAUUCAAAUCUUCUAUUGCCAAGAUGUAAUUAAAACACAUGUCAAGUAUUAGUGGCAAUUUUCAAGAAAUAUCACUCGAGUUAGCUUUCAAGAUUAAGGACUCUUUUUAUUUAUGACUAACUAAUCUAAGAAUAUAAAAUAUUCAACCAGCAUCCAUAAGCAAAUGGUUCGACUAUUAAGCAAACUCUCAACAUUAAAAUUCAUGGAUCAGCGGGCUAAUAAUUCAUUCACAUUUUUCACUAUUAGCACUUUUUUUUUCUAAAAUAUCCCCACACUUGAUUGAUUGAUUUUUUUUUUUCAGGGGGAAUGCUUAGUUUUUAGCCAUUCAAGCAUUUUGACGCGAACCCCGAUAUUGGCCAAAUGAAAGACCCUGGUUACUCAGCCAUCAUCGCUUAAAAACCAUAUACUCAUAGCUAUCGUCACUUUUUGACGCGAAAAUAGACACUUGUGGUGAAGACCUCCGAUUACUAGGCAACGAUACUAGCGGAGUAUAAGGGGAUUUUUUAUUAAUUUUUUUCCAGCAAAUGAGGUGUGGGAUUUAAGAAACGGGGAAGGGUAGGGGGAUUUAAACCCAAGACCUCUAAUAAAAGAAUUUUUAGACUUAGUUUAUUUGUCAUAAUAAUAGUUGAUCAGGAGAUAUCAAUAACUUCUGUGAAUUGGUUUCACACUCUCAAAUUAAGGGCCAUCUAAACCAUUUGGUAUUCCCUCCGUUGGCCGUGAGAGCUCAUAAUUUGAUGUGAAAUAGCCAGUUUCAAAAUUCUUUGCCGCAUAUAUGAUAUACUUUUUCAUGACUCUCAAAUUCAUCUGCACUUUUCAAAGUAAAUGAUAAAAAAAAACACGAUCCCAGUGUCUGUCACAUUAGAAUGGAAUCUACGAAUAUUUUUUUGAUAGUAAUGAUUUUUUUUUUGUUCUCUCACCAAGGUGUAUGAAUUUCUUGAAGAUAUUUUUUUCUUUUUAAAUUUCUUGAAGAUCAAUAAAGUAAUUAUAUUUAAAACUUGCAUUAAAAAGAAAACAACAUGCAUCUUUAAACUUCCAAUAUUUUGUUUGCAUAAUAAAGAAAUUCUAUAGAGCGUAAACAAUUCUUUCUGACGUUAUCAAACAACAUAAAAUGAUCAAAGUUGUACAACAGAAAACCACUCUUCACAAAAAAAAAAAAAAUUCCGAACAAUGUUGUGUUUCAUGUUUAUAUGUAUGUUGUGUUGGACAUUCUUGAACUUUUUGGCGGAGAUUUUCGUUGCAAUAUAAAAUUUUUGGAAUCCAUCAGCAUAAAUAGUCCUAAACUUUCAGAUCUGAAUUUAAUCAAAUUGUCAUUCUAAUCAAAUGCUUCUCCUAAUUCUGGCCUAUUAACUAAAAAGAAAAGAAAAGAGUAUAUUUACCUGAAGCCAAAAAAACUAAAAAAAAUAAAUAGAAAAAUUUAUAAGUUUUGAUACCGAUGCCAACUAAAUUAUAGUUGGACAAAUACUACGACCAACUAAAUCUGCCUGGAAUUGAUAAAAAUUUAGCUUUAGCCAAUUUAUUCUGACUUUCUUGAAUUUCACGAAUUAUUUAGUAUAAUAUGUCUCUAGAAAAUAUAGAACUACAACAUAAAUAGCAUAAUUUGUCUUGAAAAUACUAUCGAAUUUUCUAGCAUAAUCUGUCACCAGAAAUUAUAGAACUACAACAUAAAUGGCUUAGCCUAUGGACUGAUCAUGGUUUAGAUAUUUCUCCAAAAGCUACUCGAAUCACCUUUUUUUGUGGAUUCAGUAGGAAAAAUUAGUCAUGGAAGAUAAAAACGGUCAAUCUCAUUGAAACAUUUCAUUGCUUAAAAUUUCUUAGAUAUCGAAAUAGACAUUUUAUGCGUGUUUAAAUCUCAAAAAAAAGUAAAACCAAAGAAGAAGGGAAAGGAGAAAGGGACAGAACAAGAAGACCUCUGAAAUUUUACAUGUUUUGUUGGGAUAAUUAAAUACUAGCAUCAUUUGUUAUACAAAGUAACAAGCCAACUUGAGUCGAACUUGAAAGUCUAUUUGAAUCUCGAUAGGUUAGUCAACUUAUAUCUAUUCAAAAAUCACCUAUUAGGUUCUAUUCCUCAUGCAAUCGAAAACUUAGUCUCACUUCAGUUUCCUGUCUUGUCCCAAAAUUAUCUUAUUGGUUCAAUCCCUAAGUCGCUAGGCAAUUUUAACCAAUUUGAUGCAUUUAUAUCUCUUUGACAACAACAUUCUGGUUCAAUUCCAAAGAGUUUGGGUGAUCAAACAUUCCUUUUAGAUAUGAAUUAGGUAAGAACCAACUUAAUAUGGUUCCAACCCUAUUUUAAUUGAUAACUUGAGUAACUUAGAAAAACAGUAGUAUUUCCUAAAAAGCCAUAUUUUGAUACCAUCCCACAAGAGCUUGGAAACCUAAAAUAGUUGGUAGUCUUGGAAUUGGAUUAAAAUCAAUUAUCUAGUCCAUUGCCAGAACUACUUUGUCAAAAUGGCACACUUCAAAACAUUUCUGUGUCUAAGAACAUGCUUACAGGUCCAAUACCUAGAAGUUUGCGAAACUGCUCAAGCUCAUGCUCAGCACUCAUUUUUGGUCUAUUAGUACCUUGAAAGCGGAAUCUUGUCCAAAAUUUUGAGCGUCAAAGAAGAAGCCAAGGAACAAGACUGGCAAAAGAAGUUGAAAACCAUCCAAGGCAUCGCUCUUGCUUUAUUUUACAUGCAUCAUGAUUGUUCACCCGCAAUUGUACAUCGGGUCACGUUUAAGAUUUUGACACUCCUUAGUUUUAGUCUUUGAUCUUCUGUCAUUAUCCCCUUAAAGACUUUUCUUCCAACUAAUGUCUUUUUAGCGUUCACUAAUUGAUUACUACUUUUUAAAGAACUUAAAAAGUCUAAGUAAACUCCUCGAUUAGAUGAUAUAUGUAUCAGCGCUCUUAAAUGAAAAAAGACUUUUUUAUUGUAUCCCAAAAGACUUUCUUUAGUCAAGAUGAUACAUCAACGCUCUAAAAAAUAUACUCAUUUCAUCAACCUCAACAAUUGCUUUCAAAAAGCAGUAAUCAAUUAGUGGAAUUACUUCAAGGAAAAGACGCAGGUAGCCAUCAUCGCUCUUAAAGAAUUUCUUUUUGUCAACAAUAGCUUUCAAAAUGUAGUAAUCAAUUAGUGGAAUUUCAAAAAGUUGGAAUGAGUAUUCUAGGGGGAAAGGAUUUUUCUACUUAAAUGAGCCAUAUCAAACAUUAGAAUGGAAUGAACAAAUUGAAAAGAUCUUUUCUAUUCAAGCCAUUCUUGCAUGCAAAAUCAGGAAUUAGUGUUUACUGAUUGAUUAUUACUUUUUGAAAGACUUAUAAGUGACAGGUUGUCGAAGCCUGCACAAUAAUAAAAUUAAACCUAAUUGCCAGUUAAAAUGACCAAAACCCAACUCCAAGUACUGGAGUAGGGACUCUAGGUGUGCAAUGGGUUACUUGAUUCACCCUGUUCUCCAAGAGUUUGCUUGAUCCGAUAUACCCGAAUGAGAUGGUUAUUUUUUCACAAAUAAUUAUGAAUUAGUAGACAGGGCAAGUAGGGUCGUAUCCUCAGGGACUGGGUAUAUUUGUCUCUUAAGAAAUUCAAAGUAACGCAGGGGUUGAUUUUGUAGGAACGACGACAAUCAAAUAAAUUCGAAUAAGAAAACAAAAAUAAAUAACUAACUAGAAAUUAAACAAAAAUAAAUAACUAACUAGAAAUUAAACAACAAUUCACUGAACUUAGAGUAACAAUAAUUAGAGGCCUAAAUCAAUUAAAACAAGAAAACAAUUAAAAAUAAAAUAAAGUAGGCAACUAAAAGUCAAAUGGCAAUUCACUAAAAUCAAGGUAAUAUUAAUUAAAGAUCUAGCCAAGAAAUAACUUCAGCAAUGGUUCACCUAAUUGAUCAUCGAAGCAAGGGCAAUUCCAAUUAUUCAUCAAUAAAUAGGUUAUAACUACCAAACAAGCGAUGGAAGUCAACCCCUCCUUACUGUGUCGGUGAUUAAGGUACGCCCGUUAAUCACUGCUCUCAUUAGGAAGUAAUCCUAGGUACGCCCGUAAGAUUUAAUUCCCCAAUUGCCUUACGUGUUAGAGGAGCCCUAUUCUAACCAAAUAACGCACUACCAAGGUUAUUUCAGAUUAGCUCGCGUAUCCCCCUGACACGAAUCUAAUCGUGCCAGUUGUCACUAUUUCAGGACAAUUAAACAAUUAUGGAUUUAAUGCCCUAAUUGACAAUAGGUUACCAAGUCAAUUAAUUAUCCAGAUCCAAGACAAUCAAUUAAUUAAAUAACCAUAAGCAUAGCAAUCAAGGAAUAUGCGAAUACCAAUAAAUAAAAGGAAAAGAUUAAAUUAAAUCGAUCUCACAAUUUUUAGGCGAACCAGAGCCUUCAUUGCUCCUUGACUAGAGUGGUGAAAUUAGUUCAUGUUCGAUGAACAAAGCCCAUAUAAAAUUGAAGAGGAAGCCGCGACCAUCAAUUGGGAAAUGCACAAAUUCAAUUCAGUCAAAGGAAUAAAGCAAAGCAAAGUUGCAGAGUGUGAUACAAUGUCUUCCUAAUUGCUCCUGCCAUCCGCAGGAGAACUCCACUAGCAAGAAACUAAGGAAAAGUCAACAAUUCAAAAAGCUAAACUAGUGCUCCUCUGCCAUGCGUAAGAGAAGCCAAAAGAAAUCCUUAUCAAAAGUCUAAAAGGAAAAAUCUCAUGCUAAGCUAAAAAAAACUCCCUUUUUCUUCUGCACAAUUUUCCUCUAUAAAGUCCUGCUCCUUCCGGCGGCUCCUAAGGAAUAGAACCCUUCGGCCAAAAUGACCGAAAAGGGCUUGUGUCCCUUUUUUCAAAAAUGCCCUUGUAAGCCUUCUAUUUAAUUUCUUUCCCGAUGACUGUCAAAGUAGCAUUGAUUGUGGUAUUUUUGAUCUACUCCCUGAAAUAAAUACAAAUUAUGAAAAGUGAGUAGAAUCCAGCAAUUAAUCCACAUCAAGUCAGGUAAUAGGGGAAAUUAAUAAUAAAAUAAAUGAUAAAAUUGCGAGCUAUCAAUUCCUCCCACACCUAAAUCAUGCUUGCUCUCAAGCAUGAUAACAACAAACAAACACCAAUAGCUGACAAUGGCUAUUGCUCCAUCUAUCAUAUUGCCAAGACACCAAGAAAAACAUAGAUCAAGUCUCAGUGAUCAAGAUCCAAGAAACAUCACUUCGAUUAGUUUCUAAACUACAAACUCUUCCAAUUUCAGGUUAACUAAUCUAAAAAAAGGGAAUGACGCACAACAUUUAUCAGCAAAUAACCCAACUAUUAACCAAAAUCUCAACACUAAAUUCAUAAGUCGGCAAGCUGAUUUUGAUCCCACACUAAUACAACCUUCACUUUAUUUUUCAUGUUUUCUAUUUUUUUUUCCAUUUUUUUUCUUUUUUUUCUCUUUUUUUUUCAAUAAUAACAAAAGACUUAGUCUUUAACCAUUGGAGCCUUUUGACGCGAACUCUGACAUUUGUCAGAUGAAAGAGCCCGGUUACUCAGCUUCUAUCGCCACGUGACCACGUACUCAUAGCAAUUACUAUUUUUUGACGCGAGAAUCGACACUUUUGGUGAAAACUCCCGGUUACUCGGUAGUAAAGACUAGCGGAGUACAGUCAACUCUUAUUCUCAGCUAAAUAACACAAAAACUCAAUAUAACACAAAAAUCAAAAGAAAAUUGCAUCAGCUAGCCUCAUUUUCAAACAUGGAGAACUAAGGUUAAUAACCGGACCAACUCACAUGAAAAUGCCAACAAUCAUCCCCAAUGCCUAGAAAAGUUAACCAAAAAUUAUAAGAGUAAAACAAUCACCGAUAUUCACCAAAGAGAUGUUUUUGGACUCAACCACAUUAACUUGAUACACUUUUAUUAUUAAAAUUUGGCAAUAGUAGAAAUAGAGGCAACAAUCCAACAUCAAACUUGGCAGUCAUAGGAGAGCUAGACAGAUAAAUGACAAAAAGUAAGCGAAAACUAGACAAAUAACAAACGAAAAAUAAAAGAAAAAUAUCUGAAAACUAAGAACUAGAAAAACUACUACCAUAACUGCUCCCCCCCACACCUAAAUCCUACAUUGUUCUCAAUGGAGGUAAUAAAGUAAUUAAAGUGAAGAGAACAAUGAAACUUCCCUCUCGAGUGGCGAAGGGGUAGGCGGGAACAGUGGAGGAAAACUGAUGUGGCGGAAGUAUGCACCCAAGUGCUGAAACAUCUUAACUCAAUUCAACCAGCAAAUGCAAAACUCUGUCCACCCAAAAUCUCAACAAAGCCUCCAAGUGGACAGUUAAUUUCUCAACUCAAAAGCGGCAAUUUCAGCAAUAGCAGUAUAGAAAUUGGAGAAUAACCACACAAUCACAAUCAGGUAGCCAACCAAUUGGAAAUAACAAAUGCUAGUCAAAAUACCCCAACCAGUACCACUGGUGCAAAACGUAGUCCAAAAUCAAUGAAAUAGCUAUAACAGAGCAGAGUAAAUGCUACCUAUGGCCCCCAAUGCAUCAGCCAACAGUAGAAGCUAUACAAUGCCACACUCACAACAGAUGCUCCAACAAAGGUAGCAAAUGAACUCAAUUGAAACGACUACGGAAGGCAAGUGAAAUCAAGAGACUAAACACACCCAGUAAACCAAAAUUAGUUAACCAACUUCAAGAAGCGAUACAGGGGUCACAAUGCCCUUCCGAUCAACAAACAACCCAGAAAUUGCGCCACUAUAGUCCCAACAAUUUAAGCAAUUACAGUAUUUCAGCUCACCCAAAAACUCAACAAUUCCACCCAAAAGUUGAACAAAUGCCUCCCCGCACUGUGCCAGAGCACAACUAAUUUCAACGAAUAUGCUAAUCAAAGAGGCUAAGAGCAGGGCAACUGUCAAACACCCAACAACCCAAAACAAUUGUACUCAACUCCGUGCUCUCAAUUAGGGAGGCAACAACAGAGAAUGAACAAAUCCGGAGGAAAACAACUCAGCCGCUAAACGAUACCAAUCAACACCAAAAAUUUUGGGAUCGAGGUUGAAAUACCUCUACUGGCCGCCAAACAAAGAACUGGAGCGGUAGUAGCCGACGCGGCGUGGCCUGGCGGUGAGAGGCGGCGUGAGAGGGUGGAGUCGCGGGUGGAGAGCUUAGGCUGCCGAGCUGUGGCAACUGACUGCGGACGGCGGAGCUAAUGCUGGAGGGCGGUGGAAGAAAACCGUGCAGUGGCGGCGGAUCGAGCUUCAGCGGCGAACAAACUGGAAUGGAGGCGGCGCGGGUUGCUCGGCCGUGGAGGUCGCGAGAAGAGAGAGAGAUGGGAGGGGCGAGACUUGGUGGUGGCGCACGCAAAGGGCGGUAGCUCGCAGCCGUUGUUGGCGGCGUAGGCGGCGCGCACGUGGUUGGAGAGCGACGGCGGCGCACGAGCUCUCGGUCGACAGAGAUAAUGGAAACAAUGGAGAAGAAAGAAAGAAAAGAGAAAGAAAGAAAAAGAGGAAAGAAAGAAAAAGAAAGAAAAGAAAAGAAGGAAAAAGAAAGAAAGAAAGAAAGAUUUUUUUUUUUUUUUUGGAAAUUUCAGCUACGGUGAAAAGGAAAAUUUUUUUUUUGUUUUUUUUGUUGUUGUUGUUUUUUUUAUAUAUAUAUAUAUAUCUUAUUUUUAUAUUUUUUUAUUUUUGUGUUAAUUAAAUUUUUUUUUUUAUUUUCUUCUUCUUUUUUUUUUUAUUAUUAUUUCAAAACUCAACUUUGAAAUUCAAAAUUAGAGACUAACAGGGAAUCACUAACCGGUUUUGAGUUUUUCUUUUGAAUGCUUGCCUUUCCCGCGAACAUGACGUGGGCACGUGACGAAGGCACGGAAUGAGGAGCUCUCCAGGUUACUUGACGCGGGCACGUCAAGAGGGCAAGAGUCUCUUCUGACGAUUCUAACCGUGAGCUCUCCAUACGUCAUGACGCUGGCGCGUCAUGAGGGCAAGAACCCCUUCUGACGAUUCUGACUGUGAACUCUCCAUACGUCAUUACGCGGGCGCGUCAUGACAGAAGGACACCUACAAAUCAUAAAAAACGAAAAUUGAAACCCGAAAUCAGUCAAAUUCAAGGAAAACAUAUUUAAACUAUCACACGAAAUUAAAACAAACAAUUAAAAGAAAUAAUUGGGUUGCCUCCCAAUGAGCGCCUUUCUUUAACGUCUUUGGCUAGACAUUGAACACCACUCUUCAAUCUGGGUGUAACUCAAUUUUCCUGGAAAUCGGUGGCCCUCCUCCAGGAUCCAAAUUGCCUUUGAGGGCAGCCUCCUUUCUUAAUUUUCUACUCCUUUUCACCUCAUACAGUGCUUUCAUCCCCUUAUACUUGUUCUCAGUAAAUUUGAAUUUAUCCCUACAAGCAAACUCAGAAAAUUCUUGCACAGAGGGAUUAAUAGCAUGAAUAGCAAACACAGGGUGAGAGUUAACAGGAUGUUCCAUUGUAUCGAAAAUAUUAAAGUGGACUAGUUCUCCAUCAAAUUUCAUGGACAAUGUACCCUUAUUAACGUCAAUUUUUGUCUGUGCUGUGCUUAAAAAGGGUCUACCUAGUAGCAAAGGUGAGGGGUCAGGGGAAUGAUCAUCAUCCAUGUCAAGUACAUAAAAGUCAGCCGGGAAUAUCAAUUCAUUAACUUUAACCAGCACAUCUUCUAUCAACCCAUCAGAGUAUGCAUUUGUUCGGUCAGCUAAUUGAAUUAUUAUCUCGGUUUCUUUUAAUGGACCGAGGUUCAGAGAAGCAUACAUAGAUUUAGGCAUUAUGUUGAUCGAUGCUCCUAAGUCCAGCAGGGUAUUCCUAAUUAGAGUAUUACCUAUCUUACAUGGGACAGUAAACCUAUCUGGAUCCCCGCACUUUGGUGGAAGCUUCCUUUGGAGAACUGCUGACACAUUCUCCCCAACAAUGAUUCUUUCGUCUCCCCUCAGCCGCUUUCGGUUGACACAUAGGUCCCUAAAAAAUUUUGCAUACUUCGGCAAUUGUUUGUUUGAUAGCAUCUAAUAAGGGGAUAUUGAUCUCUACCUUGCGGAACACCUCUAGGAUCUCCUUCUCUUUGUCCUAUUUCUUCGGUUUCUCCAACCUGCAAGGAAAUGGAGAAAUUAAUCCACAUCAAGUCAGGUAAUAGAGGAAAUUAAUAAUAAAAUAUAUGAUAAAAUUGCGCGCUAUCAUUAAGUUUAAAUAAACUCCUCGAUUAAAAUGUCAAGAUGAUAUAUAUCAGUUCUCUAAAAUGAAAAUGACUUUUUUACUCUAUUCCAAAAGACUUUUUAAGUCAAGAUGAUACAUCAACGCUCUCAAAAAUAAACUCAUUUCAUCAACCUCAACAAUUGCUUUCAAAAAGUAGUAAUCAAUUAGUGGAAUUACUUCAAGGAAAAGACUCGGGUAGCCAUUAUCGCUCUCAAACGAAUUUCUUUUUGUCAACAAUAGCUUCCAAAUGUAGUAGUCAAUUAGUGGAAUUUAAAAAAUUUGGAAUGAGUAUCCUAGAGAUAAAGGGCUUUCUCGCUUAAAUGAGCCAUAUUAAACACAAAUGAAAUAGACAAAUUGGAAAGGCCUUUCCUAUUCAAACCAUUCAAUAGGGAGAACUAGUCAUAGAAGACAAAAAAUGGUCAAUUUCAUUGAACAUUUCAAUAUUGCAUUAAAUUUCUUGGCCCAUUGGAAUAGACAUCUUAUAUGUUUCACUCUCAAAAAAAUAAAAAUAAAAAUGAAGAAGAAAGGGAAGGAGAGAGGGACCGAAGCAGAAUACUUCCGAACUGAUGGGAGUCAACCACAACGUAUUGAUGGGAGUUCAGGAAGGGGAAAGGAGAGAAGAAGGGGAAGUUUUGGGCAAAACUUAGAUAUCUACAAGACUAGGGAGGCCAAGUUUAAUUUAAACAUUUGCAGCCCCUUAACUAACAGGAAAAGAGAAGGGUAUAUUAACCUGAAGCAGACAAUACUGGAAUUCAAACGGACAGAAAUAGAAGUUUAGAUUCCGAUAUCAAUUAAAUUCUGUUUUGAGCAAGUACUACGGCCAACUAAUUCUGCCUAUAGAAUUGGUAGAAAAUUACUCCUUUGGAUUUCUACUUUCCUUUUUUAACAUAUUGAGUUCAUCCGACUGUGUUUUAAGUGUACAAAAUUUUUGGGAGUAUUUUUUUUUUUUUUGGCUGGUGUAGGGCUGCAAACAAAUUGAUUCGAGUCAAGUUUUGAUUUAAUUGAAUUGAGUUUGGACUAAAAUCUCCUCCAUUUUUUACCUAACACUUGCUUUAUACAAUCCUGUCCCAUCCAAUAUUAUCAAACUCAGUACUAUGAAAAAACCUAUUACUUCACCCUUUGCAUUUUUCACACCAAAAGAUAGGGACUCUGUAAUCUUAUUAAAUUGAAUAAUUAGAUGAAAAGGAAAGAGAAAGUACAACGUAAAGAGUCAAGCAAGAUGUGCAAAAAAUGUUAUUUCACUUUUACAAAAGCGGAGGUGAUCUUCAGAUUUCAAUCAUGCGACAACAAAUUACAAGGAUAGCUUCAGUAACCGGAAAGGGAAAACACACACACACACACAUGAAAUGCUGAAUAACUUACACUUCUGAAGAAACUUACAAGGAGAUUUGAGCUUACACCUGAAGUAUAGAGCAUGCUGUCUGAAUAACAGUAAGAACUAGCAGUAUACAGGCAGCAAUAAAAGAGAUGAUAGCCCAUGGACUCUGAAAAUAAUCACGGCGUAGGCUUGCAAUCCACUCGGUUAACUUUGUCACCAACUUGUGCAGCCAGUCUCUGCUGUAUUCAUUCAGUUGAUUGCAGAGGUUAGCAAAAUAAAACUCCUUUGGAUCCGUUACAAUCUCUUUGUAGAGAUUGUUGAAAACAUCUGCCACCUGUUCACUGCUUCCAAGUUCAUUCACAAUGAUUUUAUGUUCAAUGAGUAGAUCAACAUCCUUGGGGGUGUCUAUCAAGUUAUCCAUCAGAAUAACAUAGCUUGUUAUGUCCUUGGAAUUAUAGCCACACUGUUCAAAGGCUAUCAGAUUCCGGUAAAAAGUCUCUGUGAAAUCAUUUACGGUGAGCUGUGGAAUUACUAACUCCCCUUUCUCAAAGCGUACAUCAAAUAAACAUUUUUCUGCUCCAUGACUGAACUUUACUCCCGCUGCCCGCAACUUAGUUGCAGUAGCACAUUUGCCAAAUUCCACUUUCUUUCCUUCUUCUGGUUCAGCUCUUGGAUGUGAUGGCCUAUGAAGCACUGCUAGGAACUCAACCAGAUGCCUUGCACGAGGAAAUGAAUGGGUCGUACUCGGCUCUAGUUUCCUGGUGUUCCCUACAUUCUUUAAGUACUCAAAAGCUAGUUUAUCGAAAGAUGGCGGCUCGUCAGUCUCAUUAUCCAAAAACUUGCUCAGUUUUCGGGAAACAAAACCAUUAUACAUUGUAGCAAUGAACCUCAUAGGAAGUUGGUUUUCUAAAAGCAGCAAAUCGUGCACUAUAUCACUUGACACCCAACGAUUUUCAAAUAUCGUAUCACCCAUCUCUCUCAUUUCAGGAAAGUAGUUCUUUAAGAAGAGCUCAAUGAUAAAAAUACCAUCAAACAAAAUCACUUCUGAUAAUUUCGAGAGAUCUCGGAUGUAGGUAUCUUCAUAACAACCACAUACAUUCUUCUCCUGACUAUGGGCAUAUUCUGCCAAAAGUUCUAGUGGAAUUUUAAAAGUGUGCAGGAAAUUGUUUAGAUACUUUAAUUUGUAUUCUUCCAUGGCUUUCAACUGGGCAUCACCAUGGUGAAGGGGACCAAUCGAGACUAACCGAGGCGUAUAGGCUUCUUCAUUUUUCCUCCUGUGUUUCUCAGGAACUCUAUAGAUACAAACUGUACCAUAAUUAAGAGGAUCUGAAGCUAGCAUGGAUAACUUAUCGUUGAUCAAGGAUGCUAAAUGUAUUGCGCUUGCAGAGUAGUGUGUGUACCUUGGUAAUUCUACUUGCCCAGGGGGGAUAGGCUUGGAAGUAUUGACACUGAUUUUGACCUCACUUCCAGGAUCAACAACAAUUACAACUUUUUCUUCAGCUUCCAUUCCAGUCAGUUGAUGAAACCUGACUUUGUUCUUGACCAGUCCUUUCUCUGUUGACAAGUAGAAGAAAACUCAUGUUUGUUGGUUUUGAACUUGGAACCGGCAAGAAGAAAUCAAAAGAAAAAGUAAGACAAGUACAUAAAUAUGUUUGUUGAAUGCUCAAAGUAAGGCAAUAAGGCAAGAAGAAAGUAAUGGGGAGCCAAUUGUUCUUUUUCAACCAAUAAGAUUUUCUUUAAACUGGGAGGGAAAAUUAAAAAAAAAAAAUGAUAAACAGCGAAGCUGUCUUUUGUUUUCCGUUUUGACUGCAACAAGAGGUGCGAGCAAAAUAUUCAUCUUGUGCUUUAUGUUCUAUUAUACAGGAUAGUGAAAUUUUCAUUAUAUAGUACAUUAGGAAGAAAAUUGGAAGGGUGUAGAACAAGGAUCAGAAGGGAAUUUUGUGUAUUAAUGACUGGAGAGACUUCCAUUAAUGGCAGCAGGCUUAAUAUAAAGUUCUAAGAUAAAACUUUCCUCUAUACGAGGCUUUCAGGGAUGGUGAUGGAAGGAGGUACAUGUGUGAUUGUCCAUGGUAGCAUAAUUUCCUUAGUAGAAACAAGCAAUAACACAUUAAAGCCAGAAUCAAAGCAGAGUUAUGCAAUUAAUAGAAGUAUUUUCUAAAUGAACAGAACCAGACGAAACUUAAUGGAUAUAUAUUUGCAUAUUACCCUAACUGAAGAUAGGAACUGAAAGUCAUGUACCCCUGAAGAAAACGGAUCCACAAAUUAUCCAUUACUCCCAUUGAAAUCCAUUUCAGCAACUACAUAAUUACCCCUUUAUUUCAUCAGUAACAAGUACUAAGACAUAAGAGUGAAGGACGAAGAAUACCUCAAAAGAGAAAACGGAGCAGAUGGUUAAAUCUCAAGAAUAGGCAAAUAGAGCUGAUGUGAGAAAGCUGCCACACUUUGACUUUGCACUCUUUAAGUGUGGAAUUGGAGUUGGAACUUCUGUCCUGCGACAUCCUUGUCGACAAUCUACAUAUCUACACUAUUGAAAAACAAGGGAGAGUUGACAAAUGAACAGUGCAAUCUGGUCUCCUCUGGUUACUCUGCCUUUGUGUCAAUUGAUUGGUGCUUUUUUGACAUUUGAAAUGCUUCUUAUAUGCGUCGUUACUGUGUUUUCCUUCACAUUUUCUGUUUUUUCGUUUUUGCCAAGCCUUUAUAACCCCCUUUUUUGUUGUGAUCUGGUACAUGCCCGACUCGAUUCACUUUGGACCCGAGCCGACACACCAAAUCGGGGGAUACGCCAUAACCCCUCACGACGCACCCAAGUUAGAUAGCGGGGUUUAAGUUUUAGGAAAAUAUUCGAAUCCAGAAUCUUAUUCAGUUCAAAAAUCCACUUUACCACUAGACUAUUCCUUGGGGGCAAAACCUUUAUAAUCUCUCUAUCUCUGUCUGGUUGGUCUGGUUCACUCUCUUCCUUUCUUCCUUCCCCUUUUUCACUAAAAAUUAUAGGGAAAUUCCUCUCUCUUGAGCCCAUUUGGAUUGCAUUUUUUGGAGAGUUUUUAGGGAAAAAAUCAUUGUAGCAUUUUUUUUUGAUAUGAUGUAUAUGAGAUAAAAAUAAUUUAAAAUUAUAGAAAUAAAUAUUUAUGAAAAACACGUAAAAAUUUGUUUAAAAAAAUUUACAAUUCAAUCCUGAAAAGAAAAAAAGAAACUCUAAGCAAAGGUUCUGACUAUUGAGUAUUCAAGAAAGCAAGAAGAACGGGGCCACAAAAAAAAAAAACUAUAGCAGCAGAAUAGGAGUUAUACAAUAGAACAUAUAUGAGGUUUUAGCUUAAUCUUUCAGUCACAACUAGGUAAAGGAUACUAUUUUCUCCAUCCGUCAUCCAUGAAUCUCUUGCCUUUAUUUCUCACUCAAAAUUACAGAGAGAUCCCUCUUUAAAAGUCAUCUAUUUCUUCUCUUUUGCUGCAAGAUGGGAGAUCCGGUAAAAAGAAGCAUGGAAAUAAAAAAAUCUAGCUUAGGGGAAAUAAAAAAGAAGCAUGUGAGAUAAAAAGAUGAUUAAAAAAUAUAUUCAUGAAAAACCAAAAAAAAAAUUUGGAGGAAAAUGCUUUGCAAACAAGACUGCAAGAUAUGCAACAAGUAUGAAUGAUUUGUUACAUUCUCUUUUUCAAGAUGAGCAUAUUUAGAAGAGAUUCUUUGGAGUUGUUUUUAUUAGUUAAACAUUUUUUAUGGUUUUCAGUAUGUUUAGGUUCUUUAUUGUGUUAAGUUAAGAAUAAUAAAAUUAUUUUAAAAAAUAAUGCACUACAUGUAUGUAGACAACUUGUAUGCAAAUUGUUGAGAUAUGUCAAUUUUUACAGAUUUUUCUAGAUUCAUUUGGCACUAGAAUAAUUUAGUUAAUUAUUAAAUAAAUUAAGUUGUUAGGAUAUAUUGUUAACAAAAAAGCAUGUUGAGUUGUUAACAAAUAUUUUUGCUAAGAUUUAGUUUAUAUUUUGUUGAGAUUUUUUAGGAUAAUUGUUAGUUAGAAAUUAAUAUUAAUUUGUUUAAUGUAAACACCACAAAUAGUGAGUUGAUAAAUGAAAAAUAUAAAGUUACUUUCAACCUUCAAUACAAGCCUUUUGUAAGCAGUUUUUUUUUACAACACUAAUUAAGAUAUUGUUUCUUAGUUUAUACCUUAAAAAAACCAAUAAAAUGAUAUCAAAGCUUCUUAUAAAAGCCUUGUCCAGAACAAGAUCUAAAGAUUUGAGAAGGCAACUCAAAAUCUGCAGCAAAAAUGGCAAGGAUUCUCAUUGAAUCCACUCACUCUCAAAAAACAAUACAAAUGCUCUAUUACGAGCUUAUUAAAACAAAACAUCUGCAAAAGCAACAACUAGUGUGUCACUUAUUGCCUAUAUAAACAUGACUUGUCAUCGUCAUAUAGAUGAAAAUCAUCUGAACUUUGUUAUUACGUACAUUUUGCUUCGGUUGCGAUUUUUUCUUCUUUUUUUUUUUUUACCCUUUAGUGAUUUUUCCAGUUGAAGAGUCCAAUAUGUGCUUGUGAUAUUGGUACUAAGCCUUGUACAUGAUUUGAUUUUUGCUUUCCCUUUUUUUUUUUUUGUAAAACUGAGAAAAUUAGCCGUUUGUUUAGGUAUAGAUCAUGCCUUGAUGGUAAACAAUGAGUUAUAACUGUUCCUUACUUCCCCCCCCCCCUCCCCCACCCCACCGUCCUCUUUUCCUCCCAAAGUAAGCAACGAGUUAUGGUUUAUGGGGACUGAUAUUGAACGUUGGUUAGCCCUGUUGAUGGGAUGCAAAGGUCUGAUCUUCUUGUUUAAAUUUUCAUUUCAUUUGGCCAAAUGUUUCAUUUUUAUUGGGCUUUUACCUUUGAGAUUGAUGAUCUAUUAUAUUCCAUUUGAUUGGAUUCCAGAGCUGAUUCUGGAUUCAUAAUAAAAGCUGUGUGCUUUUUCACGUAUCUUCUCAGUAUGACUAUUUUCCUUGAAAAGAAAAAAACAGAUGCGUUGUUCAUAUCCAGCUUUUGGCGCCUGAAUUUUACUUUCUUAUUAGCAUGUUUCAGAUCAGAAUUUGGGGUUUUGGAGAGUCCUUCGACCCAUUAGUUGUUGACUUGGUGGAUUCUUGGUGCUUUAUUCAUGUUAUUUGAUGAACAAAGAUCGACCUUAAUCUUCUGAGUAAACCGGAAGUUUUGUGUCUCGGUAUAAAUAGUGAUAGUUCAAAAAUGUGGUCUAUUUUUAAAAGCACUUUACCCAGUUUCCUCUUGCAGGCUAAUGGAAUAUAUAACUAUCCAAAUAAGAAACAAAUCCGUAAUGUUUUCACUAGAUUAACUUGAAUAUACUUUUGAUUAUCAAUUUUUUUUUAUUUGCUACGUGAAUACAUGCACCUAUAGGAAAGAUAUCCUUCUGAGCUUGAAAAUGGAGAGAUAUUUUGAAAAGAUUCUAAGCAUGUUAAUGGCAGAUACUUCCUUGCAAAAGCUAUCGGAACUAGGCCUUGCAAGGUUCUUUGUGAAUAUGAUCUGUAUAUGCCUCUGUAAGGAACAAUAGCUAAUUUGGCCAAUCCUAGAGUUGGAUGAAAUCAUGGAGUUCAUUUUAUAUAGUGCUUUAUAUAAAUUUAUAAAGUGCUUUAUAUAGUACUUAAUAGUGCUUUAUACAACUUUAUAAAGUGCUUUAAAAGAACUUUAUAAAGUGCUUAAUAGUGCUUUAUGCAGCCUUAUAUUUAUAUAGUCCUUGAUAGUGCUUUUUUUUAAUCGUCAUCCCUACUCCUACUCCUACUCUAUUUACGGGGAGGCUCAACUGAGCUUAUGGGGACCGAUAGGGACAGAACUACCACCGGUUGUGCACCCGUCUGGAUUUGAAGUAGAACCACAAGAGUGGCAUUUUGGUGGUGGCCACCAGCCCAAGAGCUGGUGGUUUUUUAUAUAGUCCUUGAUAGUGCCUUUUUUUUUUUUGGCUGACGUUUCUAUAACAAAAUGUCGAAAAACAAAAACAAACAUUUGUGUAAGUCAUCGCUCCCUGAACACGGGUCACUAAGCGCAGGGCACUAAAUAAAAAGGAGUAUUGGGCGGAGCAGCCUUUUUUUUUUUUUUUUUUUUUUUCUUCGCACAUGAAUUCCGCAAAACAAACAUCAUUGCAUUCAGUUAAAUAAAUUUUUGGUUGGUUGCUAACUGACACAAGCUUAUCACGGGUCAUGCGCAAUAGUAAUUUCACUUUACACCUCUGGACUUGUAUUGCCUUUUCACUUUAUAUUUUAAACUUCAAUUUUGAACCUGUUACGCUCUAAAUUCUUAAUUUUGGACAUUUGGCACCCUAGUCUCUCAAAUUUGUCCAAUUUAAAUUCAAUCAAUGACUAUAUUCGCACAAUUAAUGAGGUAGAGCUGUGAACAUUAAUGACAAUAUACUGUUUUAUUCUAACUGCUAUCUCUUAACCUUUUUUUUUGACCAAUUUUAUUACAUUAUCAUUGAUUUAUAAGAUCUCAAUUGCUAAUAUAGUUAGCAAAAUUAACUAGAUAAUAGAUGUUACAAAUUAUUGAAAAUGUAUUUUUUUUUUUACUUUUGCUAUGAUACCUUGGCAUAUUUGGACUACUUUCAAUACAUUAUCAUUGAUUUGUUGAGUCCUCUACUAUGUUAUUAAAGUUCCCAGAAAAUGGCUCCAUGACAAAUACUAAAGAUAAAUUCAACAACAAAAGCACCAUUACAUUCAAUUGCUUUAAAACAAGCUAAUAAAGAUGGUGUCAGCCAACUCCUUGACAUUGCUAAAGGGCUACAAAAUGGGUUUUUGGAUCUUAAUAAAUUUUAAUUGGUUGCUCAAUACCUAACAGAAGACAAUUCGGUAAAAAUUGGUCAUUGUAAUCGUUGGCCAUGUGCGGUAAAAUAAAACUGAUCACUUCGUUUCAGAACAGGGUGGAGGCCUAGUUGGGCUACCUGAAGAAAUCUUUAAAUAGAAGAUUGUUGAAAAAAAAAUAUUUUUUUGAAAUAAUACAGUAGCACUUUAGCAUUUUCUGUAAUAUGCUGCUUCUAAGAUUAAAAAGUGAUUGAAAAAAUGUAUUUAUGAUAUAAUUAUUUCUAAACAGUGGCCAAUCCAAACAAGCUGCUUGUUGCUUGAUAAAUAUAGAAGCUCACUCAAGUAUGUGCGUUGCUGAUGAAAAAACAGUAUCUUUUGCUAAAAAGUGGAGCGUGAACAAAUUAUGAAACACUGCAGGCCUUCUCUUUUUUUCGAUCUUUCUUGUUGACAGGGUGUCAGACCUGUGCAAUAAUAAAUACCUGCUUAAAUAAAAUAUAAUUUCUGUAGAUAAUGAUAAGCAGGAUCGAAUUCACAGGGACUGGGGAUAAUUUAUUUCUUUUAGAGUCCGAAGUAUGGGGGGUUUUUGAAAAUGAGAGUAACUAAAUUACUUGGAAUAAAUUAAAAUAAAAUAAAAUAACUACAACUCAAAUAACUAAUUAUCACAAUAAAAAUAAUAAUGGACGAACCCUAGCCAAGAGACAACUUCGGAGAUGGUUCACUUAAUUCGAUUACAGAUGCAAGGAUUAUUCCAGUUACUAUCUGAUAAAUUAGUUAUAGUUAUCAUACAUGCGAUGAACAACCAACUCUUCCUCAAUUUGUCGAUAGCCAAGGUACGACCGUUGACUAUUUCUCUAAUCAGGAAACAACCCUAGGUACGACCAUAGAAGUUCAAUUCCCUAAUUGCAUGAAUAAUUAGAAGAGCCUAAUUCUAACCAAUCAACACGCUACGAGGGUCUCUUUAAGUUAGCAUGUCUAUCUCCCUGACACAAACCCAAUCAUGCCAGUUGCCACCAGUUUAGAAUAAUUAAACAAUUACGGAUUUAACUACCCUAAUUGGCUUCAGGUCAUUGAAUUAAUCUAGAAUCCGGGCCCUGGAUAAUCGAAUAAUAAAACAACCAUAUGAACAUAAAGCAGAAGAUAGACGAAUACCAGUGAAUAAUAGAAAUAAAUAAAAACUAAUUCGAUCUCACAAAUUUAGUAGAACCAAGUCCUCCGUUGUUCCUCUACUAGAUGAGAAACUUAGUCACGCCUCAUGAGAAAAUCUCCACGUAAUUUAAUUGAGGUCCAAGCCAUCAAAGGAACCCAGAAAGAAUAAAACUAACCUAUGCUAAAAGCUCUCUGUAGCCUUUCUUACGAUUGUCCUUAUAUAGCCAAAAGGAAAUGACUAAAGCUAUCUAUCCAGUGGUCCCCACGAAUAAGGAACAAAAACAACUCUUUGCACGUUUGUUUCCUUUCAAUUCAAAUGACUAAUGCCUUUCUUCUCUCCAUGGUCCCCGAACAAAUUGAGAAAGGAGUGUACAUAAAGUGAAGUUCUCUGAAGUCCUUCUUUCUUUAGUUUCCUCUUGAUAGUCAAACACUUCAACACUCCAAGAUACUCCUAAUCCGCAAAAAAGAAAUGCAGUCCGCGUAUAUCACCAUGUGGGCCAGGUCUGUGGCUUAUUUGAAGUCUCAAUUAUCUUCAAAAAGUCCCUCCUUUUUUGUAGUUUUCUGCUUCACUCCCUAAAAUUGGGUCCAAUACCAAAUAUAAGUAAAUAUUAAUAAUUAAAACAAUAUUUGGCAAGGAUAAAAGGGAAAAUGAACAAUAAAAUUACUAACAAUUAACACCCUAUCAAUUCCCCUCACACCUAAAUCAUGCUUGCCCUCAAGCAUAGGAACAGUAAUUGAACACUGGAAUUUGACAAUGGUUGUUGCUCCAACUACUGUGUUGCCACGAUACCCAAGAAAAACAAAUAUCAAGCAUCACAGGUCAAGAUCCAAGAAAAACCACCCUGUUAGCAUCUAAACUACCAACUCCUCCAAUUUAAAGCAAACUAAUCUAAGCAAAAGGAAUGGUUGCUCACAUUUAUCAGCAAAUGGUCCAACUAUUAAUCCAAAUCUCAACAUUAACCCAUAGAUCGGUAAGCUGACUUUAGACACACACUUACACAAUCUUCACCUUUUUUAUCACGCUUUUCUAUUUUUCUUGUUUUUUUUUUCGCUAUAUUUUUCUUCUUUUUCAAUAAUAACAAAAGACUUAGUUUCUAGCCAUUAGAGCCUUUUGACGCGAACUCCAACAUUUGAUAGAUGGAGGAGCCCGGUUACUCAGCUCCAAUCGCUACAGGACCACGCACUUAUAGCAAUCACUACCUUUUGACGCGAGAAUCGACACUUUAGGUGAAGAUCCCCGGUUACUCAGUAGUGAUAACUAGCGGAGUACAGUCACCUCUUAUUUACAACCAUAUAGCACAAUAACUAAAAAUAACAUAAAAAUAAUAGCAGCCAGCCUCAAAUUUCAAACAUGGAGAACUAAAAUUAAUAAUUGGACCAAUUCACAUGAAGAAUGCCAACAAUCAUUCCCUAUGCCUAGAAAAGUUAACCAAAAAUUGAAAAAGUUAAGCAAUUGUUGAUAUUCACCAAAGAGAUGUUCCUGAACUCAACCACAUCAACUUGAUACAUUUUUAUUACUAAAAACUUGGCAAUAGCAUAAUUAGAGACAACAAUCCAGCAUCAAAACUUGGUAUUCAUUUAAGGACUGACCACUAGAAAGAAAAAGAAAAGAAAAUAAAUGAAAGAUAGGCAAAAACUAACUAAAAAUAAAGGAAAAGCCCCUAGAAACUAAAAACAAAAAUACUAGCACCCCAACUGAUCUCCCCCCCACACCUAAAUCACACAUUGCCCUCAAUGUGAUAAACUAACAGCAAAAGGAAGGAGAAGGGCAACGGUACUUCCCUGAAGUUGUCAAAACAAGGGUGGGCCGGGCGGAGUGCUGCCAAAUUCUACGCCAUGUUAUGCAAGUCGACGUCCAUGUGGGUCACUCGAGUCUCCAGUCUCUCAACUUGCAUCUGGAGCUGGUGCCAUUCGUCAGCCCCUGGGGUAGGAGGAGGCUGCGAGUGUCUAGGUGUCCUAAACCUAGAAGCGGAUCUUGGCCUUACCAUGAUCUCUAGAUGUCACUCUAAUCACAAGGGACUACAAUUGCCAACAGAUAAUGGAAACAGGAAUUUCAAAGUAAUAACAAUUUUUUUGUUUAAAACCAACCCAAUGAACAAUAGGCACAAUUCAAUCACCCACAGGUUAUACGAAUACCUCAACACUAAUAACAAAUGCAAUCAAUGAGCCCCUGUGGUCCAAAUGUAGUCAAAUUCAGAAUCAAGGCAGUCCAAUCAUGCAACAAGUGCUCCAAAUAGCUUAGUAAAGGAAACCAAAAGGAUAAAAUGCUCCUAAACAAGGCAAUCAGAGGCAACUAACUUCAAUAAGCAAAUUUAAGCGUUAUAGGCACCUCCCAAUUUAACAAGCAAAUUACCCACAAUUAGACACAAAUCACAGGAAAAUAGACACAAUUGGUCCCAAAAUGGUAACAGCUGCCUCCAAUUGGACAGUCCAUUCCCCAAUUCAACCUGCCAAAAUCAGCAAUUGACCCAAGAAAAUGGUAACUCCAGCAACAGUUCAGGAACCAACACUCAAGAAUCAAAUAGGUAGUCCGGCACAGAGGAUUAAGAAAUGGAAAGCAACACUGCAACCAGUACCACUGGUGCACAGACAGGAAAGAAUUAAAUUCAACGGUAGCAACUCAAUCACAAGCACUUAAACUUUAAAAUAAGCAAGUAUCUUCAAAUAUAAGCCACAACGAUAGGGAAAAGAUCUCAACCAGUACCACUAGUGAGUCACAGGGAAAAAAUUAAUCAAGCGGCCAACAAAUGAAUAAAUAGCAGAAAAUCUCCCCACUAUGGCAGCAAUUAAACCCAAUUCUGUCCAAAAAGUACCCCCAGAAAAUGCCUAAAUCACCCUUGCUAUUAGCUAUCAAGAAACUCAAACACAAAUUCCAGUAAUUUAUGCUAAUCGGAGAAGAGAUCACAAUACCUCCACCUGUCAAUUUUGACAGGUGGUGAUGCGCAGCAAUGGAGAAGCGUCGGGCAGCGGCCGCGAGGUGAAACUGGAGCUGGAAGUGCGGCUGCCGGCGUCGGGCUCGUGGCCGCUCCUGGUGGCACGCGAGCUGUGGAAAGCUGGCGGAGGAGGUUCGCGAGCUGGUGGAGCUGUUGGCGGUGGAAGCUGAGCUCACGGCGAGAGGAAAGUGAGAUCUGGUGACGGACGCGCGCGGAGAGACGGUGGGUGGAGCUUCGUGCGGCGCACGGCUGUGGUGUGGCUGUGGACAGUCGCGCGGCUGGGGGCGGCAGACAGCAGCGGCGGAGUGGCGAGCUGAGGCGGCGGCGCUCACGCAGGUGCUGGGCUGGUGGUGGCCGCGAGCGCAGGAGGAGCUGCGCGCGAGGGAGAAGGUGAGAGUGGAGGAGAGGCGCGGCUUGGCUGCGAGCUGGCGGUGGAUCGUGAGGUGAGGCCGCGUGCGUGGAAGCUCCUGGCUGCGAGGGAGCUUGGGCGACGCGCGGCAGUGCGCGAUAGUCGCGAAGAUGAGGAGGAGCUGCGUGGGUGAGGUGGUAGCGGCAGGCGGCACUACCACGCGCAGGGGAAGGUCGCGGGGUGAGCGAGGGAGGCGGUGCGACCUGAUGGCGUGGAGGUGCGGUGUGGGCUGCAGGAGGCGCGCGAUGGUUGCUUGGAGGCAGCGGCGUGCGAGUGAAAGGAAGAAUUGGGAAAACAGAGGCAGCGGGGAAGAAGAAAGAAAGAAAGAAAGAAAGAAAGAAGAAAAGAAGGAAGAAAAAGAAAAGAAAAAAAAUAGUUUUUGUGGAUUUUUUUUUUCUUCUUUGUUUUCAGUUUUUUUUUUUUUUUUUGAAUUCAAAUUUCGAAAAUUGUAAUUGCUAAAAUACUUUGUUUCCUUUUUGUUUUUUUUUAGAAAUAAUAAUAAUAAAUAAAUAAUAAAAAAAAAAUUUCUUAGCUUUUGGAUCGUCAAACAUGGCGUGGGCACGCCAAGAUUGGUAAAUGUCCACUGACCUCAGGAGUUAUAAACACCGCGUGGGCACGCCAAGAUUGUUGUCCUGACCACAGUGGAGGAAAACAUUAAAACCGACCACAACCUAAAUAAGAAACGACAUAAUUAAAGAAUUUAACAACGAAAAACAAUAAAAUCAAUAUUUGGGUUGCCUCCCAAAAAGCGCCUUUCUUUAACGUGUUUGGCUAGACAUUAUCAUGUUUGCUUAGGGAGGAUAAAAUCUUGUGGCUCAUUUCAGUGCUUCAUUCUCUAUAUAAUCCUGAUAGCCCUCGUAAAUAGAGUAAUCCUUGAGCACACGAGCUACGGUCUUCCAUGGACUAGUUGAUGGCGCCAAAUAAUCAAGCAGUGAUCUCAAUUCUUCAUCCACUCCUUCAUCAAGAGCACUCAACGGUUCAAGAUAUUUGACCAUAGCUACUCUUAACUUAUUUCUGCCAUGAAACUCAAAAACUUCCGGUAUAACAAAAUCAAUCUCAUUAACAGAAAUUAUAGACUAAGAGUCAAGAGAAUAUAGAUUAAGGGAUGGAGGGGGUGUCACCACAUUUGAUGAUUCUUCACUGGAUUCUUUCACUUGAAUGGGUUGCGGUUGGGGUUCCAUUUCUUCCUUUUCGGCUUCUUUUUCAACUGCAUCUGUAGAUCUCUCAUUUUGACACUCUUGCAUCUCCUCAUCACUAGUCAAGCAAAUUGCACUCUCAUUUUCUUCAAAACCAACAAUGGUUUUCGAGGGCAAUUCUUCAAAUUGAGAAGCCAAUCGAUUUAUUCUGGAUGUCAAUAGACAUAUUUGAUCUUCCAGAUUACUCAUUGCAUCCUUCAUCAUCCUAUUUCUCAUUUGUGUCUCAUGUUGGAAUUGAUAUGUAUUAGUAGCUAUUGAUUCAACUAUUUCUUCAAGAGACAUACCUGACAUAGAUGAUGAUUCUUGAGACUCAUACUGUUGAAAAUUCAUUGGCCCUGUUGUAUAAUUAUAACUGGAGUUAUCCCACCAUCCUUGAUCAUACCCGUUUGGAUUAGGGUUAUACCACGUUUGAGACCAGGGUGAAAAAUCUCCAUAAUUAUUGAGUGGGACACUCAGAUUAUCUUGAUAUUCGGGGCACAUACCGGUUGAAUGAUCCCUGGCAUAACAAAUUUUACAGGUUGCAGCAGCCAUUCUUUCUCUAAUAGAGUUUAGUGCCUCUGCAUAUGCAAACUUAGCAAAAAAACAAGUCUCAUUGCCUUCCCUGGAAACAAAAUCCAGUCUAUCACCAAAAUACGGAGUGUUAGAAGCCAUAAACUAUAUAAAAAAAAAAAUAAGAGAAAAAUAAAUAAAAAAUAAAAUAAAAUAAAAACAAGAUGAAUUCAAAAAGAAACAAAUUAAUCUGGCACCAGUCCCCGGCAACGGCGCCAAAAAUUGACAGGGUGUCAGACCUGUGCAAUAAUAAAUACCUGCUUAAAAAAAAUAUAAUUUCUGUAGAUAGUGAUAAGCAGGGUCGAAUCCACAGGGACUGGGGAUAAUUUAUUUCUUUUAGAGUCCGAAGUAUGGGGGGUUUUUGAAAAUGAGAGUAACUAAAUUACUUGGAAUAAAUUAAAAUAAAAUAAAAUAACUACAACUCAAAUAACUAAUUAUCACAAUAAAAAUAAUAAUGGACGAACUCUAGCCAAGAGACAACUUCGGAGAUGGUUCACUUAAUUCGAUCACAGAUGCAAGGAUUAUUCCAGUUACUAUCUGAUAAAUUAGUUAUAGUUGUCAUACACGCGAUGAACAACCAACUCUUCCUCAAUUUGUCGAUAGCCAAGGUACGACCGUUGACUAUUUCUCUAAUCAGGAAACAACCCUAGGUACGACCAUAGAAGUUCAAUUCCCUAAUUGCAUGAAUAAUUAGAAGAGCCUAAUUCUAACCAAUCAACACGCUACGAGGGUCUCUUUAAGUUAGCCUGUCUAUCUCCCUGACACAAACCCAAUCAUGCCAGUUGCUACCAGUUUAGAAUAAUUAAACAAUUACGGAUUUAACUACCCUAAUUGGCUUCAGGUCAUUGAAUUAAUCUAGAAUCCGGGCCCUGGAUAAUCGAAUAAUAAAACAACCAUAUGAACAUAAAGCAGAAGAUAGACGAAUACCAGUGAAUAAUAGAAAUAAAUAAAAACUAAUUCGAUCUCACAAAUUUAGUAGAACCAAGUCCUCCGUUGUUCCUCUACUAGAUGAGAAACUUAGUCACGCCUCAUGAGAAAAUCUCCACGUAAUUUAAUUGAGGUCCAGGCCAUCAAAGGAACCCAGAAAGAAUAAAACUAAACUAUGCUAAAAGCUCUCUGUAGCCUUUCUUACGAUUGUCCUUAUAUAGCCAAAAGGAAAUGACUAAAGCUAUCUAUCCAGUGGUCCCCACGAAUAAGGAACAAAAACAACUCUUUGCACGUUUGUUUCCUUUCAAUUCAAAUGACUAAUGCCUUUCUAGUUUCUUCUCUCCGUGUUCCCCGCACAAAUUGAGAAAGGAGUGUACAUAAAGUGAAGUUCUCUGAAGUCCUUCUUUCUUUAGUUUCCUCGGUCCGCGUAUAUCACCAUGUGGGCCAGGUCUGUGGCUUAUUUGAAGUCUCAAUUAUCUUCAGAAAGUCCCUCCUUUUUUGUAGUUUUCUGCUUCACUCCCUAAAAUUGGGUCCAAUACCAAAUAUAAGUAAAUAUUAAUAAUUAAAACAAUAUUUGGCAAGGAUAAAAGGGAAAAUGAACAAUAAAAUUACUAACAAUUAACACCCUAUCACUUGUAAAUUGCUAAUCAACAAGGGACGGCUGACUUUUUUUUUUUUUUCCUUUUUUUAUGGAGGGAUUGAAAGAUUUGAAUUUAGUAUUCUCUUUGGUAUAAUGUCCAAACUUCAUCAGUUGUCAAAACCCUUGUUGGCGAGGACCAAAUUAGUCAAGGCUUGCAAAGCAACACACUCUCAACUUUAGCUUGAUCUUUUUAAAUGUGAAAAUCAUAUACAAAAUUUGUAGUGCAAAUUUAUACAAGUUACUAAGCCAAAAUUUUUCACUUACCCCCUAACUCAUUUUUUUUUGUCUCACUCUAUCCCUUGGUGGACAAAAUUACCCCUCCAUUAUUUUAAUUUCCUUUUUUUGUUUUUUCCCUUUUGUAAUUUUUUCUUUCCCCUUAUUCCCUCUAUUUUCUUUAUCUCUUUCUUCUUUCUUUACUUCUCUCCUUUUCCCAUAAGAAACUUCAUUUUAGUAAUUGAAUCUAAAAAAGAGCAAUUGCGGACAUCUAUCUUCUUGUCAAAUGAUCACAAAAUAUUCAAACCCUUUUUCCAAAAUACCAUUCUUUGACCUUUCAAUUCUUUUUCUUUUUCCCCUUCCCAUCCCAGUUUCAUAUUUUAUUCUCAGGAAAACAUCACAAGAUAAAUUUGUGACAUAAUUAAUGAUCAUUAAUUGGAAUUUGCAAACAUGACAUCGUAUAAAAGAUCGAAACUAGAUUUUGAUACCUUUCAAAAUUUCGCCCAUAAACUCAAUUACAAUCUUGAUAUAAAGUUUUCUAUUGAGAUGAAUUUUUUUGUUAAGAAGGAUGGACGAGAGAAGAAAGAAGAAAGAGAAAAAGAGAUAAAGGAGGGGAAGAAGAGGAAAGAAAAAGAUAAAUGAAAAGUCAAAAUAAUGGAAGGGUAAUUUUUUCCUAUAGGGGCUUAAGUGAUAAAAAUUAAAGGUUAGAAGAUAAAAUGGUAAAUGUGAUAUACUUCAAGGGGAUUAAUUGUAAUUAACCCGUUUCUUGAUGUAGGGUAGUUAAAUCUGUAGAAUCAAUGUCCUCUAUUAUUUACGUGGGGUGACCUUUCGUCUUAUUUUAUAUGUGGAGAGCCAAGGGCGUGCUUGGAUAUCAAGAAUUUAAAAAAAAAAUUCAGAUUUUGUUUUACUUAUAUCAUACACACAAUUUUCAAUCACCUUUUUAUUUCACAUACAUUACAUUACAAAAAGUGCUACAGUAAUUAUUUCAAAUAAAUAUUUCAAAUAACCUCCUAUCCAAACAACCUCAAUGUUUGUCACAGUUUAACAAAUUUAAAUUUGUCUUUAACACAAAUUACAAUUGUCACCAAUUUGCGGCAAAUUUCAAAAAAAAAAACUAUUAUGCCACAGCAUAUAUUGUUAUCGGUUUUGUUUACCCUUGCUAGAAAAGUUUUCCAAGUGAUCUUGAAUACAUGUAACCAAUAAGAACAAUAGGACUCUUGGCAAUUCAACAAAGACAACAACAAAUCAAAUAAAGCAAAUAAAAAGACACAGAAUUUAUGUGGUUCGAUCGAAUUGACCUACAUCCACGCGAAAACGAAAAAAAGAAUACAAAAGAAAGAGUACAAAACUUAGAAAAUAAUUCCAUUGUCCAAAGACACCUAAAAUUGAAAACACAAAAGAGUUUAAAUAGUACAAAAUACUUAAUGGCCCAAAAGUCCACUAACUUGUUAUUUUGGUUUGAUACAUGACCAAAAUCUCUCUUAAACCACAGCAUAGGCCCCCCAAAACUUUCUUGACCUGGUGCCUUUAAUACAUUUAAACUCACUUAAAUUUACUAUAUUUAUAACCACUAAGAUGAGAGAUUUCUUUGUAAAACUCUCGAUGUGGUAUACGAAAACAAACUCAACACCUACUAAUUCUUUUGCUAUUUUAAGUUGGAAAAUUUUUGUACAUUUUCUAGAUUGCUAUGUGCAUUUCCAAAAAAUUAAAAGAGUGGUAAUCUAACUAGGAAGUUCAUAAAUACCUUAUCACUUAUACUCCUUUCACCCCACUUUGAUAGUUUUAGUUUUUCUUCACACAAUUUAAGAAAAAUCAGUCAAUAUUUUUGGAAGAGGAAAUCUAGCUAAUUAUUUUUCCAAAAUACGCAUACGGUUAAUAUUAGAAGUAUGACUAAUCAUUAUAUAUUUACAUUAAUUAUACCAACAAUAUUGAUGGAAAGUUACACUAUUCAAGGCACAAAUCAAAGCAAUUAUUGAUAAAAAAAAUUAACUAUAUUUAAUAAGGUAGGUUAUACUCACUAAUGACAACAUACUCCCUCCGUCCACUUUAAUAAUCUUGAUUUUUUUCACACAAUUUAAGAAAAAAUAGUUAAUUUUGUUGGAAGAAUAAAUUUAGCAUGCUAUUUUUCUAAAAUAUCCUUAUAUUAGCAUUAGAAGUGUGACCAAUUAUUAUACCUUUACAUUAAUUAGAAUAGCAAUAUUGAUAGAAGUUAUACCAUUCAAGGCAUGAAUCAAAACAAUUAUUGAAUAAGGUAGGUUAUACUCAGUUACUCACUAAUAACAAAGAACAUUAAUUAAGGGUAUUUUGGAGAAUUUAAAGAAUUCUCGAAACCCAAAAUAGCUCUUAAAUUACCACAAUAUUACUUGUACAAUUAAGACAAGUAAUUUUACUUACAAUAUUACCUACAUUUCAAGUGAAAAUUUAUGCACGUCAAUAUCACUAGUGUUUUCAAUAAUCUAAUGUUGAUCUAUGGGCCUUAAGAAAUCAAGCUAUCUUACUAAUAUCUUGGCUGCAGAUGGAACAAGACCUUGUAAUUAGUUACUCGAAUGCACUAGAUUAGAUAUUUACAAUACUUAACUCUCAUGGUGAUGCAUAAAGGAACGGAGAAGGCUAAUUAGUCAAUUAGCUCGAUAUUCAGCGUAACUGGCCUUAACGGAAGAUCAAGAACACAUGUAGGAAUUGUAACCAACUUGUUCAUAAUCUUUCUAAUGCGUUUUCAACUUGGAACAAAUUCCAGAACUAACGUAGAAAAGAGGGGAAAAAAAUUCCAGAAACUAAUAUUUUAUGAUACCAUGUGCAGUGGUGGUCAUGUAAACUCAAAAUUCGCCAAAUUCUUCAAUCACCAGAAUAAAAGGAAAAACAGCAUCUCCCCUUUGAGCAAAGCAAGGAGGAUUUUUGGCAGAAUGUCCUCCAUAACUGUGCAUCAUCGACAUCUAAAUUUGACAACCAAUUGUUCAUCUUGAUUUAGUGAUUACAUAUGGAUUUUUAGUCCUCAUACUUAGGUUUUGUAAUGUUUGCUAAAUUUUGAAAAUAUGUGUAAAAAUGUUUUGAUUGUGAUUUUCUAUAAAAAUAUUUUACAUUUUCUAUAAACAUAUUUUCCAAUAACCUUUUUUUUAUCUCAUAUAAAUCAAAUCAAUAUAGUACAUUUUCUUACAAAAAGUUCUAAAAAUAGCAAUCCAAAUAGGGAAAGUUUCUCUAUCAUCCAUGAUAGGCAUUCAUAUCCCAUAGAAGUACUUAAAAUCUUUUUUUUUUUUCUUAUGUUUAAAACAGCCGUAACCUUAAGCUGAAUUGUGAUAAAUGAGACUGAGAGUUGCUUAAAAUGUAUUAGGACUAAAGAAAAAUACACGCACAACUGCUUCCAUUAUGUGGCACGCCAUUUUCUUUGUCACCUGUUGGUAAAAUAUAAUGUCAAUCAUGGAGUAGUAAGCAAAAAAAAAAAAAACUAACUAACUUAGACCUAUAUGAAUGAAGCCAAGCUCCAGAAAUGAAUUAUUUUUUUCAAAAAAGUAAAAAAGAAAAAAAAAACUUGACUAAAGGAAGUUCUCUUUUCUUUUUAGAUGCAGUUAAGCCUAUUUGAAGCCAAGUUCUAGAGGUAAUUUUUUUUUAUAAAAAUCAAAAUGACAUAAAAGGAAACUCGAUUAAAGAGUUUUCACUUCUUUCUCUUUUUUUUUUUUCAAUGUUUUGGUUUUUUUUUUUUUUUUUUUCGAAACGAUAGAUGUCCUAUAAUCUAAUCUAGCCUAGUAUAAGGGGAAGGAGAUGGGGUUCGAUGUGAGUACAAACUCCAUCGAUGAAGGUCACUUAAGACCGCCACAAAUUAUGACAAAUUUGUGGGAGGCAGGGAUUGAACCGUUGACCUCCAGCAUCACCUGACCUCCAUCAAUGUUUUGGUAUUUGAAACGGAAGUUCAUCAUGCAGCAAUAGCAGCGCUCUCUUUCGGAGAGAGAGAACUCCUGUAGAGAGAGAAAUAUGCAGUCCAGCGGUUUGUGUACGGUUAAAAUUUGUUAACGAAAAGGCCGGAAGUUUUCAUUAUUAAACCGCAACGGCCCAAAAGUUUCCAUUGUCGAAGAAUUGGGCAGCUGCUGCCGUGGCAUUGGAGUAAGUUCCCAAGAAAGAGGGAAAAAUGCACUUGCUAGAUGCGUUGUUUAAAAGGCGCAUUCACUUGCUAGACGUUUUUGCUUAAAAAAUACAUUUACUAAAUAUGACACUUUCAAAAUGAAUGCAUUGUUUCAAAAUUCUCACUAUUUGAGAACUCUUUUUGAAAAAGAGAAAUAUUAUUUACGCUGCAUCUUUUAUUAUUUGCAUUUUCAGCAUUUAUUUUAUUAUAUAAUCCAAUAAAUAAAAAUUAUAUGAUUAAAAUGAUAGCGAAAGUGUGAUUAAAAUUAUAGAAGUGCAAAUAACAUUUCUCUUUGAGAAUUUACUCGAGCUUUUCUCCUUAUGAUGAGAGUUUUAUCCUUUUGAAAAACUUUCAAUCUUUCAAACAUUACAAAUCCAAAAAGCCAAAUGCAAAGUUCAAAAUCAAAAUCCCUAUUGAUCCAAGACAACUUCAUCAAACUACUACCUUUUCUGCAUCCUUGUCGUAAUUUCAAAGACUUCUAAUCCCUGUUCCAAUUAUUAGCGACUUGUUUUUGUGUCUGUUUUCCUCUAUUGUGUGUUGGUUAGGUGGAGGUCAACUAUUUGUUGUUUUGCCUACCAGGUGCUUAGCAUUAAGUAUUGACUGAGAAAUCUAUUCCUAUUUCCCUUUCACUACAAGUUUAUUUAAUUUGGGCUGUCUCGCCUGGGUGCCAGAUUAAGGGAUCCUCUACUGUCUCUCUGAAUCCAGAAGAACUGGCAGAUAUAAUGCAAAAAUACAGUGAACAAACAACAAAGGUGAGCUACACACAAUCAACGAAACAAGAAAUCAGCAGCAUCAAGAAGCAAACGGUAGAAAAAUAUUUUAUUAGAUGGCCUCUGCAGGCUUCUCAGGUUCAGCCUCGCGCAUAGCAAGAAAAUGCUCUUAAAGCCUGUUGGUUUCAGUAGUAAACGGAGAUGCAGGAAGCGGUUCCUGAAUAUCCAUUCAAGUUACAAAUAGUUUACAUUGAUUCCCUGAUUCAAAUGACUAGGCCAUGAUUCAAUGAGAAGACUGGGUUACUACAAUUCUUUUAGCCUGAGGAUAAUGCACAAGAAUUCGACCCCUCCACCACCACUUUCCCACCCUUUCUGCAUCACAGAGUUUAAUGUGUAUAAAAGUUUCUAACAGCUAGAAAAAUGUAGAAACGGUUACAAUAACCAUCGAUCCUUGUUCGCUGGUUUCGUCUAAAUGCUGGAUAACUAGAUCAUGUCAUGCAGAUGUUCUUAUCGUCUAAAUGCUGGAUAACUAGAUCAUGUCAUGCAGAUGUUCUUAUCAAAACCCCAUAUACUCACCGUGGACAUUUAUUAAGCCAAUAAACCCCACGCUUCCAAUUGCCUCUGAAAAGAAACCAGAAAAUGAAUGGGGACAGCAAAAUCUGCCCUCAACACUUGGGCUAUUGGCUACGACUAAUGUUGCCGGUGGAGGAAAUUUUGAGGUUCGCUUUGGUGCAGAAUUUGUGCCCAUGGAGACAGUAAAUUCCGCCUUCAAGAUUGAGGGUAGGAGGGUGCAGAGACAGCUUCAUCAUCGAUAACAAAGAGCUUGUUGUGAGGAAAACAAUCCUCCACAACCAAUUAGCUUCCGAAAAUCAAAAUAUGACCAAACUAUGGCGUGCUUUGCAUGAUGCUAAUGUAAAUGUAUGAGAUGGUACGCUUUUUCUUUGGCUAUUUUUAAAUUUUAUUGAAAGAUAAAAAACAAUUCUUUAAAAACCAUCAUCCAAACACAAAUAAAAAAAUUUGUUUGUAUUAUGAAAGAUUAUCAGAUGGGUUGACAGAGAUUUAAAUUUUAUUGUUGGAGGGAAGAAAAAUAAUGUAUGAGGACCAUGAAAAAGAUUGCGAAAUUUCCUUUCCAUCCUAGGUGUAUUAGUAUCAAAACCUGUAAAUGGCGCUAAUCAAUAAGUUAUGUAACCUCUACAAAGGACAUAACGACUAUAUCCAUACUAAUUUCACCGUUAUAUGUAUUGUAUCUGGACAAAUAUUUUGUAAUUGAUAUUUUAUAUUUAUUAGACUUAAUGCUCUAAUUUAUAACUCCUAUAUUCUUACAACCUAUAAAUAGAGGUUCUAAUAUAGAUGUGUUGCGUCCACAAUUUCUAUAUUCAUCCAUCUUAGUCUGAGAAGGGAUACUUGUGUAGUAUAUUCUUGACAACUAACUCUAGUGUUGGAGAAAACACUGAUUGUAUAUGGGACCAAAUAUAUGUUGUAGAUUGGAGUGGCUAUAGUGUGAAACAAUGCUAAGCCAGUUUGAUAUCUCAGAAUGGAGUAUUAAAGGUAGCCUCUAGGACUCUCCAUUUUUUAUCCCUCCUAAACCUUGAAUAUCCUAAUCUUGGUGUGAACCAGUUCUUUGGCAGCAUACCUCGUCAAAUAGGCAUCCUGUCGAAGCUCAUUUAUAUUGAUUUCUCAGUUAAUGAGUUGUCACAAGAAAUCCCACCUGAAAUUUGCAACUUGAGAAACUUUGGUUCAUUUAGCUCUUGUGCAUAAUCAACUUUCAAGUCCAAUUCCUCCAGAAAUAGGAACUGUGUAUAAUAUUAUUGUUAACGUUUAUCUAAAGAAUAACAAUUUAACAAGCCCAAUUCCAGCCACUUUUGAUAACCUCGAUGGGCUAGUCAACUUAUAUCUAUUCCAAAAUCACCUAUUUGGCCCCAUUCCUCAUGCGAUCGAAAACUCAAUCUCAUUUCAGUUUCUUGUCUUGUCUCAAAAUUAUCUUAUUGGUUCAAUCCCUAAGUUGCUAGGCCAUUUUAACCAAUUUGAUGCAUUUAUGUCUCUUUGACAACAACACUCUGGUUCAAUUCCAAAGAAUUUGGGUGAUCUAAAAUUCCUUAUAGAUAUGGAAUUGGGUAAGAACCAACUUAAUAUGGUUCCAAUCCUAUUUUAAUUGAUAACUCGAGUAACUUGGAAAAACAGUAUCUCCUUCUAGUACCAUCCCACAAGAGCUUGGAAACCUGAAAUAGAGUAGUUUUGGAAUUGGAUUAAAAUCAAUUAUCUAGUCCAUUGCCAGAACUACUUCAGUACUUUGUCAAAAUGGUCUAUGAGUACCUUGAAAUCAGUACUUCAGCACUCAAUUUUGGUCUAUUUGUACCUUGAAAAAGGAAGCUUGUCCAAAAUUUUGAGCAUCAAGGAAGAAGCUAAGGAACUAGACUGGCAAAAGAGGUUGAAAACCAUCAGAGGCAUCGCUCAUGCUUAUCUUACAUGCAUCAUGAUUGUUCACCAGCAAUUGUACGUCGGGACAGAUCAAGCGAGGGUUACGUUUAAGAUUUUGGCACUCCUUAGUUUUAGUCUUUGAUCUUCUGUCAUUAUCCCCUUAAAGCCUUUUCCUCCAACCAAUGUCUUUUUAGCGUCCGCUAAUUGAUUAUUACUUUUUAAAAGACUUAAAAAGUCUAAGUAAACUCCUCGACUAGAUGAUAUGUAUCGACGCUGUUAAAUGAAAAAAGACUUUUUUAUUGCAUUCCAAAAGGCUUUUAAAUAAAUAUAUUCAAGCUCUUAAAUAAAUUAUUUUCGUUAACAACUGCUUUCAAAAUGUAGUAAAUUAAUUAGUAGAGAAUUACUUGGAGGAAAAGACUUGGACAGCCAACCCCAUCUUGACUGAAAAGCCUUUUGGACCUUUGCCAUUAAGGCCCAACAUUGUAUAUGUUUAAAACCAACCACGCCUGUGGGACUUUUACUAACAACUGCCCACCACUACAUUUGUUUGAAAACAUCAGCCUUCCAUCCAAAAUUUCUUCAAGUUGAUCCUCUAUGUUGGACCUUCGCACACAGGGAGCCAAUGUCGUAAUUGAAUGAAGCCACCGCUAGUGGAUUGAUCUUGACGGUUGGCCGGACCUUUACGGACAAGGGCCCAACACCAAAUUUGUUUGAAAAGGCCUUUGACAGUAAACGUUUGCAUCUAAUUAAAUUUGUAGAAAAACCGGACUACCAUCUUCUAAAAAAUUAUAUUUAAUCAUAUUUAUUAAACUCGCCCGACAAGGAAGUCGACAGAUAGAUGACAUGAAUGGUUCACUGUUUUGACCAAUGGCCCAAUAAAAGAAUAUUUAUAAAUACUUGGUAAUAUAUAAAAUUUAUAAAUAAAGUUUAUUUAAAAUAUCUUAAAACAUUUGUUUCCUUGUAUAUAAGAAAAAAUUAUUUUAAAUACAAAAGACAUUUAAUUAUUAUGGAAAAUUACAUUUAAAUAUUAAUUGAACUUACAAAUAGUCUAAGAUAUCAUGAUGCAGUAUAAAGAUUUGACAUCCUACUAUAUAGGCAUCUAGACUGAAUGUGGAAAGAACUUUUCCUAUGUUUUUAUGAGGAAUGAGAUUUCAGGAAAAAGUUUGAAUGAGUAUUCUAAGGGCAAACGAGAACUUACUGUCUACUAAUUGAUUAUUAUUUUUUGAAAGGAUUCUAAGUUUAAGUAAACUUCUCUCUUAAAAUAUCAAGAUAAUAUAUAUCAGUUAUUUAAAAUGAAAAAAAACUUUGUUACUGUAUUCCAAAAGACUUUUUUAGUCAAUAUGAUACAUCAACGCUCUCAAAAAUAAACUCAUUUCAUCAACCUCAACAAUUGCUUUCAAAAAGUCGUAAUCAAUUAGUGGAAUUACUUCAAGGAAAAAACUCGGGUAGCCAUCAUCACUCUUAAACGAAUUUCUUUUUGUCAACAAUAGCUUUCAAAAUGUAGUAAUCAAUUAGUGGAAUUUCAAUAAGUUGGAAUGAGUAUUCUAGGGGGAAAGAGUUUUUCUACUUAAAUGAGCCAUAUCAAACAUUAGAAUGGAAUGAACAAAUUGAAAAGAUCUUUUCUAUUCAAGCCAUUCUUGCAUGCCAAAUCAGGAGUUAGUGGCUAUUGAUUGAUUAUUACUUUUUGAAAGACUUAUAAGUUUAAAUAAACUCCUCGAUUAAAAUGUCAAGAUGAUAUAUAUCAGUUCUCUAAAAUGAAAAAGACUUUUUUACUCUAUUCCGAAAGACAUUUUUAGUCAAGAUGAUACAUCAACGCUAUCAAAAAUAAACUCAUUUCAUCAACCUCAACAAUUGCUUUCAAAAAGUAGUAAUCAAUUACUGGAAUUUCAAAUAGUUGGAAUGAGUAUUUUAGGGGAAAAGGGUUUUUCUACUUAAAUGAGCCAUAUCAAACAUUAGAACGGAAUGAACAAAUUGAAAAGAUCUUCUCUAUUCAAGCCAUUCUUGCAUGCUAAAUCAGGAGUUAGUGUCUACUGAUUGAUUAUUACUUUUUGUAAGACUUAUAAGUUUAAAUAAACUUCUCGAUUAAAAUGUCAAGAUGAUAUAUAUCAGUUCUCUAAAAUGAAAAAGACUUUUUUACUCUAUUCCAAAAGACUUUUUUUGUCAAGAUGAUACAUCAACGCUCUCAAAAAUAAACUCAUUUCAUCAACCUCAACAAUUGCUUUCAAAAAGUAGUAAUCAAUUAGUGGAAUUUCAGAAAGUUGGAAUGAGUAUUCUUGGGGGAAAAGGGUUUUUCUACUUAAAUGAGCCAUAUCAAACAUUAGAAUGGAAUGAAAAAAUUGAAAAGAUCUUUUAUAUUCAAGCCAUUCUUGCAUGCCAAAUCAGGAUUUAGUGUCUACUGAUUGAUUAUUACUUUUUGAAAGACUUAUAAGUUUAACUAAACUUCUCGAUUAAAAUGUCAAGAUGAUAUAUAUCAGUUCUCUAAAAUGAAAAAGACUUUUUUACUCUAUUCCGAAACACUUUUAUAGUCAAGAUGAUACAUCAACGCUUUCAAAAAUAAACUCAUUUCAUCAACCUCGACAAUUGCUUUCAAAAAGUAGUAAUCAAUUAGUGGAAUUACUUCAAGGAAAAGACUCGGGUAGCCAUCAUCGCUCUUAAAUGAAUUUCAUUUUGUCAACAAUAGCUUUCAAAAUGUAGUAAUCAAUUAGUGGAAUUUCAAAAAGUUUGAAUGAGUAUUCUAGGGGGAAAGGGUUUUUCUACUUAAAUGAGCCAUAUCAAACAUUAGAAUGGAAUGAAUAAAUUGAAAAGAUCUUUUCUAUUCAAGCCAUUCUUGCAUGCCAAAUCAGGAGUUAGUGUCUAUUGAUUGAUUAUUACUUUUUGAAAGACUUAUAAGUUUAAAUAAACUCCUCAAUUAAAUGUCAAGAUGAUAUAUAUCUGUUCUCUAAAAUAAAAAGACUUUUUUACUCUAGACUUUUUUUAGUCAAGAUGAUACAUCAACGCUCUCAAAAAUAAACUCAUUUCAUCAAACUCAACAAUUGCUUUCAAAAAGUAGUAAUCAAUUAGUGGAAUUUCAAAAAGUUGGAAUGAGUAUUCUAGGGGAAAAGGGUUUUUCUACUUAAAUGAGCCAUAUCAAACAUUAGAAUGGAAUGAACAAAUUGAAAAGAUCUUUUCUAUUCAAGCCAUUCUUGCAUGCCAAAUCCGGAGUUAGUGUCUACUGAUUGAUUAUUACUUUUUGAAAGACUUAUAAGUUUAAAUAAACUCCUCGAUUAAAAUGUUAAGAUGAUAUAUAUCAGUUCUCUAAAAUGAAAAAGACUUUUUUACUCUAUUUCGAAAGACUUUUUUAGUCAAGAUGAUACAUCAACGCUCUCAAAAAUAAACUCAUUUCAUCAACCUCAACAAUUGCUUUCAAAAAGUAGUAAUCAAUUGGUGGAAUUACUUCAAGGAAAAGACUCGAGUAGCCAUCAUCGCUCUUAAACGAAUUUCUUUUUGUCAACAAUAGCUUUCAAAAUGUAGUAAUCAAUUAGUGGAAUUUCAAAAAGUUGGAAUGAGUAUUCUAGGGGGAAAGGGUUUUUCUACUUAAAUGAGCCAUAUCAAACAUUAGAAUAGAAUGAACAAAUUGAAAAGAUCUUUUCUAUUCAAGCCAGUCUUGCAUGCCAAAUCCGGAGUUAGUGUCUACUGAUUGAUUAUUACUUUUUGAAAGACUUAUAAGUUUAAAUAAACUCCUCGAUUAAAAUGUCAAGAUGAUAUAUAUCAGUUCUCUAAAAUGAAAAAGACUUUUUUACUCUAUUUCGAAAAACUUUUUUAGUCAAGAUGAUACAUCAACACUCUCAAAAAUACACUCAUUUCAUCAACCUCAACAAUUGCUUUCAAAAAGUAGUAAUCAAUUAGUGGAAUUACUUCAAGGAAAAGACUCGGGUAGCCAUCAUCGCUCUUAAACGAAUUUCUUUUUGUCAACAAUAGCUUUCAAAAUGUAGUAAUCAAUUAGUGGAAUUUCAAAAAGUUGGAAUGAGUAUUCUAGGGGCAAAGGGCUUUCUCGCUUAAAUGAGCCACAUUAAACACUAAAAUGAAAAAGACAAAUUGGAAAGGGCUUUCCUAUUCAAGCCAUUCAGUAGGGAGAACUAGUCAUAGAAGACAAAAAAUGGUCAAUUUCAUUGAACAUUUCAAUAUUGCAUUAAAGUUCUUGGCCCAUUGGAAUAGACAUCUUAUAUGUUUCACUCUCAAAAAAAAAAAAAAAAAGAAGAAAGGAAUGGAGAGUGGGACCGAAGCAGAAUACUUCCCUGUAUUGUAAAGUUGGGAUAAGCACUAGUUUCGUUUGUGGUACAAAGUAACGAUCUUUGGCAACUCGAUUUGAACUUAAAUGUAAUUGGGGUUCUUUCCAAAUAAUUUCCAUAUUCAUUUUGGUCCUACUUUUUCCAUCAUUAUGGAAGACUUAUAAAAGCUAUAACCAUUUGAUUAAAGUCAUGAUCCCGAGUCAACCAACCACAACGUAUUGAUGGGAGUUCAGGAAGGGAAAAGGAGAGAAGAAGGGGAAGUGUUGGGCAAAACUUAGAUAUCCACAAGACUAGGGAGGCCAAGUUUAAUUUAAACAUUUGCAGCCCUUUAUCUAACAGGAAAAGAGAAGGGUAUAUUAACCUGAAGCAGAAAAUACUGGAAUUCAAACGGACAGAAAUAGAAGUUUAGAUUCCGAUAUCAAUUAAAUUCUGUUUUGAGCCAGUACUACGGCCAACUAAUUCUGCCCAUAGAAUUGGUAGAAAAUUACUCCUUUGCAUUUCUACUUUCCUUUUUUAACAUAUUGAGUUCAUCCGACUGUGUUUUAAGUGUACAAAAUAUUUGGGAGUAAUUUUUUUUUUUUUUUGCUGGUGUAGGGCUGCAAACAAGUUGAUUCGAGUGAAGUUUUGAUUUAAUUGAAUUGAGUUUGGACUCAAUUUUACCAAAUUCGAACUCGACGAACUCUCAAUAUAAAGUUUGAAUUUGAGCUCGACCUCAAAUUAGGCUGAGUCAAACUCGAGGUCGAGCCUACUCGAGUUUAAAAAAUAAAAAUAAUUAUUUUAUUUUUUUGUCUGUCUACUCAAAAGAAGUGAUUACACACACAUAUAUAUAUGAUAGGUGGAGUAUUCUUCCUGCCUCUAGCUCCAUUUAAAUUCAGCGGUAAAAAUUUCUGCAGAGUCGGGCGGUGCCAGCAUAACCUUUCUUCACUUGCCAUCAAUCGUUAAUAGUGCAGCCAAGCUCAAAUUUAUUCUAAACCAUGUACUACAUAAAAAAAAAAGUAACUAAAUCAUUUUCAAACUCAAAUUUGAAAUUGAACCCAAGCUCAAAUUCACCUGGUUUAAUUUAAUGAGCCGAACUCAAAUUUGAAAUUGAAUAUCUAUACCAAUUAAUGAAUCAAAUUGAGUAGGAUUUAUAACUCGUUUAAUAUUCAAUUGAAUUCCAAUUCUAUUCAUAUAAUAUGUGAAUAGAGUUUAAACAUUAAGUACUUGAUUUGAUUCUACUCGUUAAAAGCUCUAAUGUCAAGUGGCUGAUUGACAUAGCUCAUCAGGCGGGUAAAAGCAUUAGAAAAAAGAUUGUGCUAAAAAUUUUUUAUCGCCCAAUAUUUCAGGUAGAAGAUGCUUGUAAUUGCUUGAAACAAAACUGGUGCCUUUCAUUGUAUGUGUUCCCAAAUUUUGUGUUUGAGUUUUUAUCUGCUUAAGGUAUCUUGAACAUUCUUGAACUUUUUGGUCUAAAAAAAGAACCUUUUGAAGUCAAUAUAAUUAGUCCCAAACUAUUUUGAAUGUAAUCAAAAGCUUCUCCUAGUUCUGCCCAAAUUAAUCUCAUUUCAUGUCACUUGUGUCUAUGCCGUAGCUAACAGGAGAUCAUAAAUAAAGUGCGAAUGCAAACUUUGAAGUUUUGAUAUCAAUGCUCACUAAAUUCCGUUUGGACAAGGACAAAUGUACUAUGACCAAUUAAAUCUGCCUAUGAAAAUUUGGGAAAAAAAAAUUUCAUCUUUUGGCAAUUUCUCACUCCUAUUUCAUGAAAUCUACAACCAAAUUAGGCGUAAUCCCUCUCCAGAAAAUACAGAUCUAUACCAUAAAUAGCUAAGCCUGUAGGUUGAUCAUCAUUCUUACGAAUUUGGUAACCGCUACUCCAUCUCUUAUACUAUAGAUGUCACUUCGAGUCGCCUUCUUCUGCAGAUAUAGUAGGAAAGUCAUCCUUAUAUUUUCUAAAUCAGUGACAGAAUAUCAAAAUGCUCAAUCUCAUCAAGACAUUUCAUUGCAUUAAAUUUCUUGGGCCCUUGAAUCAGACAUCUUAAUUGUUUCAAUCUCCAAAAGAAAGAAAACAAAAAUGGAAAAUUAAGAAGAAAAGGACAGAACAAGAAGACCUCGGAAGUCUUCCUUGUGCAGCUGGGAAGACAGGAUAAAUACUGGCUUCAUUUGCGGUACACAUAUCAACCUGCGCAAACUUGAGUUGAACUCGAAAGUAGUCAUGGGUUCUUUUCAAUUUAUCUCUAUAUUCAUUAUGGUCCUACUUUUCCCAUCAUCUCAUCCCAAAGCCAAAGGUGUCGCUUCAGAUUCUGCUAGUGAGGCGGCUGGUCUUUUGAAAUGGAAGGCCAGUUUUCAAAACCAGAACAAUAGCUUGCUAGCCUCGUGGAACCUCCAACCCAUCAGCGGCAAGAAUUCUUCCAACCUUCCAUGCACUUGGGCGGGUAUUUCAUGCAUUAAUGGAAGUGUCAACAGGUUGAAUCUCUCAGAAUACAGCAUAAAAGGUAGCCUUUAUGACUUCCCAUUUUCAUCCCUCCCAAAUCUUGAAUAUCUUGAACUUAGCCUGAAUCAGAUCUUUGGCAGCAUACCUCGUGAAAUAGGUAACCUGUCCAAGCUCAUCUAUCUUGAUUUCUCAGUUAAUGAGUUGUCACAAGAAAUCCCACCUGAAAUUUGCAACUUGAGAAACUUGACUCAUUUAGCUCUCGGAAGUAAUCAACUUUCAGGUCCAAUUCCAUCAGGAAUUGGAACUCUGCAUAAUCUGAUUGAACUUUAUCUGGACAACAACACUUUGAUAGGUUCAAUUCCAGCCACUUUUGGUAACCUCACUAGGCUAGUUAACUUAUACCUUUUCCAUAAUCUCCUAUCUGGUCCCAUUCCUCCAACGAUCAGGGAUAUGAUCUCACUUCAGUUUCUUAUUUUGUCUCAAAAUAAUCUUUCUGGUGGAAUCCCAAAUUCGCUUGGAACUUUAUCCAAUUUGAUUGGUCUAAUUCUCUAUGACAAUCAACUUUCAGGUCCAAUUCCAAAGGAAUUGGGUGAUCUAAAACUCCUUACAAAUUUGGAAUUAGGCGAGAACCAACUUAGUGGUUCCAUUCCUGUUUCAAUUGGUAACUUGAGUAACUUGGCAAAACUGUUUCUCCCAAAAAACCAGUUUUCUGGGUCCAUUCCACAAGAGCUUGGAAACUUGAAAAAGUUGGCAAUUUUGGUAUUGGAUCAAAAUCAGUUCUCUGGUCCAUUGCCAGAAUUGCUAUGUCAAAAUGGUUCACUCCAAAUCAUUUCUGUAUCUGAGAACAUGCUUACAGGUCCAAUCCCUAGAAGCUUGCAGAAUUGCUCAAGCUUAGUUAAGGCCAAUUUCAACGAGAACAAUUUCCAUGGAAACUUGUCAGAAAUGAUCUGCAUCCAUCCAUUCCUGGACUUCAUAGAUCUCAGCAACAAUGAGUUCUACGGUGAACUCUCCAGCAACUGGGUUGAAUGCAAAAUCUUGAAAACCCUGAUAAUUGCAAAGAAUAACAUCACAGGUGGUAUACCUUUAGAAUUUGGAAAUUUAUCUCAACUGCAUGCACUUGAUAUUUCUUCAAAUUUUUUAUCCGGGGAGAUACCAAGGGUAGUGGGGAAGUUGACCUCUAUGCUUAAACUAGAUUUACAUGACAACCAAUUUGUCGGUGGUGUACCUCAGGAAUUGGGAAUGCUAACCGAACUUCUUUACCUAGACCUAUCCACAAAUUCCUUGAAUGGAUCUUUUCCAGAACAUUUGGAAGAUUUGAAGCACUUGUUUUACAUGAACUUGAGCAACAACAUUUUCAGCCAAAAGAUUCCAUUCGAGAUUGGGAAGUUGACCCAACUUUCUGAACUAGAUUUGAGUCGAAAUUUGUUCACAGGAGAGAUACCAUCAGAGUUCCGAAGUUUGCAGAGUCUGGGAACAUUGGACCUCUCCCACAAUAACCUCUCUGGUUUAAUCCCAAAGGCUUUAGCAGAAUUGCCUGGUUCAUUGCAAAUUAAUAUUUCCUUCAAUAAUUUAGAGGGUCCAAUUCCAAGUGGCAGAGCCUUUGUGAAUUUAACGAUAGAAGAAGUAAAGGGAAAUAAAGGCUUGUGUGGCAAUAUUACAGGGUUACGAGCUUGUGAAAGUUCCUCGUUAAUCAAUAGUCAUGUCAAAAAUAAGAGGAAAAAACUUGUUCUCACAGUUGUAUUUCCUCUUCUGGGGUCAUUCAUACUUCUAGGUGCAUUCUUUGGUAUUCCCAAAUUGCGUGAUCAAAGGAAAAAAAUUUCAAGAAUUGAAGAUAUGGAUGUGAAGAAGUGCCAUUUAUUUGCCAUAUAUGGAUAUGAUGGCAAAGCAUUGUAUAAAGAAAUAGUAUUGACUACACAAGAGUUCAGUGAAGUAUUUUGCAUAGGGAAAGGAGGUUAUGGAAGUGUUUAUAGAGCACAGCUUUCAUCAGGGGAUGUAGUAGCUGUAAAGAGACUUCACAACAUGCCUGAGAUGGCAAGUCAUAGAAGUUUCUUGAAUGAGAUAAGAGCCUUGAUAGAAAUCAAGCAUCGAAACAUUGUAAAACUCUUGGGCUUCUGCUCCAACUCUCAGCACUCAUUUUUGGUUUAUGAGUAUCUUGAAAGAGGAAGUUUGGCCAAAAUCUUGAGCAUAGAAGAAGAAGCUAUUGAACUAGACUGGCAGAAGAGGUUGAAAAUCAUCAAAGGCAUCGCUCAAGCUUUAUCUUACAUGCAUCAUGAUUGUUCACCAGCAAUUGUACAUCGGGACAUAUCAAGCAACAACAUUUUGCUCGAUUCAGAAGACGAGGCUCAUGUUUCAGAUUUUGGCACUUCUAAGUUUCUGAAAAAAGACUCAUCUAAUUGGAGUUCUCUUGCAGGAACAUGUGGAUAUGUUGCACCAGGUAAUAAUGUUUUUUGCCCCUCUUUGAUUUAUUAACUACCAGAUUUUAAUACGAUCACAUGUUAUCACGAGUCACGAUGUAAUUUUCCAACUUUUCCUUGCAGAAUUUGCCUACACAAUGAAAGUAACUGAAAAGUGUGAUGUUUAUAGCUUUGGGGUCCUGACAAUGGAAGUAAUCAAAGGAAAACACCCCGGUGACUUGAUUGCUUAUCUAGUGUCUUCAAAGCCUGAGAAAAUUGAACUGAAAGACUUGUUCGAUCAAAGACUUCUGUAUCCCAAUCAAGAAAUUGAAAACAUUCUGGCAUCCGUUCUCAAAUUAGCAAGAGAAUGUCUACAUGUUGAUCCACAAUCUAGGCCAACAAUGCUCUUUAUUUCUAGGUUGUUAUCAACGGGUGCACCAUUUGUGUAACGUAUUGUACACAAUCUGUGUAACAAUUAUUGUAACAAUCUGUGUAACAUAUUGUACAAGACUACGAUGACCAUAUUAAUCUUUUUUCCUAAGUUUUAUGGGUUUAACAAAUAGAUGUAACAAAUAUGUAGAAUUUGACUGAUGCUCUCUUUGAGAUGUGUGGCGAUACUGUUUAGAAAAAAAUAAACAAAAAUCAAUUUUCCUAGUUGCUGCAUUUGAGAUGUGCGGCGAUGCUGGAUUGAGAAAACCCACCCCAAUCACUCCAUUUUUGCAAUCUCUUUUUUUUCAACAUUAUUUCAAGAAAUUUUCCCUCAUCUUUUGCCUCAUAUAUUUUUCAGAUUGCCAUAUUUUGGAAGGCUUAUAAAAGUGGUUACCAUUGAUCAAAGUCAUGAUAAUAAAGCCAAUCCCAGACUGUUUGAAAAUUACUGAUGGAGGACAAGGAGAGAGUAGAGAAGGGGAAGCAUUGGCAAUACGUAGACAUAUACAAGACUAGGGAGAACGGGCGACACUUAGAUAUGAACAAGACAAGGGAGGGCUUGGUUUAAAUUGAAACAUGUUGUCAGGUGGCAAAAACUAAUUUCCAAGGAUCCAUUUGAAAGAAAUAAUGCUCCAAUGUUAAGAAAUAGGAAUUUAAAAAUCUCAGUGGGUUGCUCACCCACCUGCCACCCCUUUCCAGUUUCCCUACGAUGAGGGCACGCUGAUAAAAAGAGACUAGGCAAAUUCCUUAAAGACGGGUAGAAAACACGUCAUUUCUCCUUAUAGACUAGAGUAGGCACUCAUCUUGGCUUAGUUCUGUGGACCUUUGCCAAGAAGAAUUUGGUGCAGGAACCGUACCAUUUCUGGGUCGAGGGCCAGGAUUGAUCUAAGGAAGAAAAGGGUGUGUUUGGAUUGCUUUGAUAAAUUGGUACUUUUCCGUUAACACAUUUUUCAAUAAUUUUUUUAUCUUAUAUAUAUCAAAUUAUUACAAUAAUUUUUUUUACAGAAAGUUCAGAAAAAUGCAAUCCAAGCAAGUUCUAGACUCCGAUCACGUAGUUGUUUUCAACGCGUUUUAACUUUAGACCGUGUUCAAAGUUAUUUAUAUGACUGAAUAAAAGACUCACAAUUGGUUGAAAUGAACAAAACUGUUCUGCAACCAUUCAACCCGCAAUCAUUUGUGCCCUGCCAACAAGAACCCACCAUCAAAUUUGUUAAAAAAUCAUUUUUACUUGAUCCUUAUUUAAAAGGAGUUAAAUCCACAUCCUUCUAUUCAAAAUUCACAAUUUGAUAUUUUGUAGUAAAAUGCAAAUGCAGUUUCGGUGCCUAAAUUUUGGUGCUUUAACGACUCAGGAGCCCAUUGGACAAAAACAGAUUUGGUACUCAAUGUUACAAUAUUUAAACAUAUUUGGUACACUUAAUAGAUUUUUCAAAUUCAUAUUGCAAAAAAUCGCGUGUUAUCACAUUUCUAGCAAUGAAAUUGUAAAGAAAGUCCAUGUUUAUAUCUAAUUGAAGAAUCUUCGAAUUCUUGCUUCCACCUCUUCAUGUGAGAUUAAAUGUCACUAAAUUUUUCUUAUGGUUUCAUGGUUGAAUCCAUAAAAGUUCGAUUAAAACAAAUGUCUCAAUGUUUUGCUCUUUUUUUUAUUUUUUUUUGUUUUAAUGCUUGUUUAUUAGAGGGUAUGAAGAUAAGAAGAGAUGAUAGGAGGGGGGAGUUUGGAGUGUGUAUGGUUAGCUCAAUUGGGUAUCUUCUUAAGUUAACUUAUUUUGUUUUUAAAUGAGUAAUUGAUGUUUUAUUAUUUCUUAAACUAGAUGAUAGGUUUGUGAGUUAUCUUCCAAUUAUUUUGGAAUUUUUUUUUAUAAUUUCAUUGUGGCGCAUUGUGACAGCACAUGAUUUUUUCAUAGAAAUUUGAAAAAAAUCCAUUAAGUGUGCUAAAUAUGCUCAUACAUUGUAACAUUGGGUACCAAAUUUAUUUUCGUCCAAAGUUUGGAUACUAGAAUUGCUCAAGAGUCAAAAUGUGGGUACCAAAACUGCAUUUUACUUUUUGAUGUAUUAACUACUUGUACUAUUAGUAUAAAAAUUUGCAUACGGUGUAGGUUUAGAAUGGAGGUGUGAGACCAUACUUACUUCCACUGAAUUAUAAAGUUGAAUAUAAUGCUACGUGAUAAAAUAUCUUUCAUCCUUUUCUUAGUAAAAAAUUAUUUUAUAAGUUAAAUUGGGAUAAUUUUAGAAACCUGAGAUUUCUGAUAAUUACACAUAAAUACUCUCCAAUAUCAAAAAUUACACUGCCCUCCCCUUUCAUUUUGAUGUGACCAGAUGUCAACUUUAGCAGCAAUAAAGUGACAAAAAUAUCCUCACAAUAUCAGUCUCUAAAAUAUUAGAAAUAUGGGAAAAAUAUAAAUCUUCCAAGUAUAAUAUCUUUUACAUGUAAUUUGACGCCAUUAAACUUGGGAUAUAUAUUGCUUUUGGCGCCUUCCUAACAAUCAUACUACUUCUAAAGUGCAGAAGAAAUAGCUAUAGAGAAAGGAGAGGAUCUAGUAGCGAAACUGAUAAAAAUCCUUCAUCUCACGAAGGAUAAGUCAGAAUAGUAGUAUAUAUGCAACAUAUGAGCUUGAUCGAAAGCUACUGAGGUAAAAGAUCACAAUUUUGUUAGAUUUGUUAUACCUAUUUACAAGUAAUAGACACUAAUAGUGGAUGUGAAUGAUUUGUAUCCUUGUUAUUGUGGCAUAUAAUCUGUUAUUACUAUUAUAAGAUGAAGAUAUGGCUGUGAGAUUGCUUCAAAAGUUAGGCAGAAAAAAGGGAUAGUGGAUUUAGGGUUAGAUCACGUCUAUGUUGAUGUUUUUUAUGCCAAAUCUAUGACUAAUAAUGCAUGCAUGUGGUGUAUUUGAUGGAUUUUUGUGCAACUGAUGUUCACAGAGCUUAAUGAUUUAUAGAGGGAGAGUUGUGUUGUAAUGAGUUUUUCUUGAUGAUCAAUAUGGCGUCACUUGAUUUUUGUCUAAAAUAUAGAUGUUUGGUGACUCAAUAGAAUUUUAGUUAAAAGUAUUUGUUCAUCUCAUUUAGUAGAUAAAUGGCUUGUGACAGGUCGUCAGCCUGUGCAAUAAUAAAACCUGUUGAAACUAAAAGUAAUUUCUGUAGAUAGCAGUAAGCAGGGUCGAAUCCACAGGGACUGGGAGUAAUUGUUCCUUUCCAAAUUCACAGUAACGAAGGGGGUGUUUUAUAUCAGGAGUGACAAUUUAAACAAUUCAACUAAAAAUAAAAUGAUAAAAGUAAAAUAGCCAACUAGAAAUUAAAUAACAAGUUACUAAAAUCUAAUAAGUGAUAAUCAAGGAUCUAGCCAAGAAAUAACUUCAGCAAUGGUUCACCUAAUUGAUCAUCGAUAAGCAAAGGCAAUUCCAAUUAUUCAUCAAUAAAUAGGUUAUAACUACCAAACAAGCGAUGGCAGUCAACCCCUCCUUACUGUGUCGGUGAUCAAGGUACGCCCGUUAAUCACUACUCUAAUUGAGAAAUAAUCCUAGGUACGCCCAUAGAAUUUAAUUCCCCAAUUGCCUUACGUAUUAGAGGAGCCCUAUUCUAACCAAAUAACGCACUACCAGGGUUAUUUUAGAUUAGCCCGCGUAUUCCCAUGACACAAAUCUAAUCAUGCCAGUUGUCACUGUUUGAGGUAAUUAAACAAUUACGGAUUCAAUACCCCAAUUGACAAUAGAUUACCAAAUCAAUUAAUUAUCUGGAUCCAAGACAAUCAACUAAUUAAAUAACCAUAAGCAUAGUAAUCAGGGAAUACAUGAAUACCAAUAAAUAAAAGGGAAAGAUUAAAUUAAAUCGAUCUCACAGUUUUCAGGUGACCCAAAGCAUCCGUCGUUUCUUGACUAGAACGAGGGGAUUAGCUCAUAUUGGAUGAACUAAGCCCGCGGGAAAUUUCAGCAGAAGUCACGGCCAUUGUAUGCAUUUCAAGAGCCGCAAUUCGUCAAACACUUAGUAAGCAAAUGUAAGGCACAGGUAACAAAUUGAAGCCCUUUAUUGUUCCUAGCAUCCGCAGAGCAAAAUCAUUCACAAGGUGUAAGAAGGAAAAGUCAAAGAAAGCUGACAAAAAGCUUCCUCCUCACAUUCGUACAUGUCUUAAGCCAAAAAGUAAAGUACAAGGGAAAAGUCAACAAUUUUCUUUGCUAAGCUAAAGACGAAAAGCUAAGAAUUCAGCCACCCUCCAUCUGAUCCUCUUUUCUUCUUCUUCUUGCGGCGGCUCACAGCAGGAAGAGAAGCCCUCUGUCCGUCAUUCCUUUGCGAAAAUUACCAAAAUGGGCGUGACAUCUUUUUUCCAAAAGUGACCCUGGGACAAGCUUUAUCAUCUGAAUUCUUUUCCAGUCAAUUUGGCACCUGUUAUCAUAUUUUCGUUCUACUCCCUGAAAUAUACGUAAAUUAAGAAAAAUGAGUAGAAUCCAGCAAUUAAUCCACAUCAAGUCAGGUGAUAGGGGAAAAUAAUAGUAAAAUAAAUAGAUAAAUUUCAGCCUAUCAAUUCCCCCCACACCUAAACCAUGCUUGUCCUCAAGCAUAAGACACCAAAAUUUGAUAAUGGUCAUUGCCCAAUCUACCAAACUGCCAAGAUAUUCAAGAAAGAACCACAUAUCGGGCACUAGUAAUUAAAAUCCGAGAAGCAUCCCCUCAGUUAGCCUCUAAACCACAAACUCCUUCAAUUUCCAAAUUAACUAAUCUAAGGAAAAGGAAUGGCACGCAACAUUUAUCAGCUAAUGGUCCAAAUAUUCACACAAGUCCCCAUAUUAAGUCCAUAAACCAGCAAGCUCUCCUAUUAUUUAAUCUCAUUUUUUUUUUGUUUUACUUUCUUUCAAGCAAUCAUAAUAUUUGACACAAGAAGACUUAGUCUCUAGCCGCCGGAGCCUUUUGACGCGAACUCCAACAUUUUUAGAUGAAGGAGCUCGGUUACUCAGCUCCUACCGCUAUACGACCACGUACUCAUAUAAAGCACCAUCUUUUGACGCGAAAAUCGACACUUUUAGGUGCCGAUUCCCGGUUACUCAGUAGUGGUUAAUAGCGGAGUACAGUCAAGUUUAUUCACAGCCAAACAAAGCCAGAAACACGAAAUACCAACACUAGCAACCAAGCAUAGGGGCAGCUCGCCUCAUUAUUGCCAAACAUGGAGAACCGGAGUCAAUAUUGGACCAGUUCACCUCAAAAUGCCAACAGUCAUUCCCAAUGCCUAGAAAAGUUAACAAAGAAAUCAAAAGAGCCAAGCAAUCCGAUAUUCACCAAGGAGAUAUCUUGGAUCCAACCACAUCAACCCGAUACCUUUGUAUUUAAAAACUUGGCAAAAGUAGACUUGGAGUCAAUAAGUCCACAUCUCAAUUUUUAGCAUUCUCAUGAAAGGUAAGCACCAAGACGAAAGAACGAAAACGAGCAACUAGAAAUAAAACUAAGAAAAACUACUAAAAAGUAAAAACUUUUUUCUUUUUUUUUGACUAAAAACGUAAAACACUAGCACCCCCUUAGAUCCCCCCACACCUAUAGGACAUAUUGUCCUCAAUGUGACAAAUAACCAACAAAAGUGGGUGAGAGGACAGUAACACUUCCCUGAAAUCCGGUCAAAGAGGUGGGCGAGGCGGAGCUGGAGGAGCAAAGCCCGUAUGAUGCAGAAAUUGCGCCAAAUUCUCACCAUGUCUCUAAACAGUUAGCUCAAAGCUACAGAAGCUCCAACAGGUAUGGAAACCAGCAAAUGCAACUAGCAAAGGAAACUCAAGCAGAACAAAGCAAGAAUUUCCCAGUAAUCACCCAAUCAAUAACAAAAAGAAGAAUUCCAACAAUUAAAAAUGCCCAGUCAAAGCCUUCCCACUUCAAAAGUUGAAGCUAUCAGUCAGAGGGUCCCCCAACAAUGAAAUUGUGCAAGAUGACCCCACAAAGUAAGUCAAACGGCACAGGAUCUCACUCAAUAUGCAAUAGCAGAAUUAACUCAAGCAAAGCCCCCAUAAAACCUCAAUGAUUCCCCCAGCAAUGCAAGCAAAAUAGACCUCAGCAAGACAAUCCAACAAGCAACGUUGGGUUCAAAGGCUCCUUCAAAUCGAACAAAUAAUCAUAGCAUUGUAACACAUUCAAAAUCUCAAUAAACGGCUCCAGUUGGCCAAUUAACUGCACAAUGUCACCCAACCCAAAAGAAAUAGCAGUUCCAAUCAACAAUAGUCCGACCAGUACCACUGGCGGAAAAUCACACAAUUGGGGAAAAGACUUCCACACGGCCAAAAUACCCACUGCUGACGAACCCAGAUAGCACCAUUCAAUUUGUAGAAAAUUGGGAGUAAGAUUCAAAUACCUCCACUGGUACCACUCCAGGUGGCGGGCAGAGCAGCGGCGGCGCACGAUGGCAACACCAAUGGCGUCGGCUUGGGCUGGUGGAGCGCGCGGCAGGGGAGCAGAGCUCGCGCGAGGGCUUCGGGUACAGCCAAGAGAGAGACAGACGGGCAGCUGUGGAGUGCUGCCGCGGCUGGCGCAGUUGUCGCCGCGCUCCAGAGAGAGAGGUGAGUGAGUGCAGGGGGCUGGAGCUGCUGACUGAAGGCGCGGCUGCCAAAAAUUCAGCAGCAGUGGCGGUCACGCGGGCAGCAGCGGAGAGAGAGGGUGGCUGCCGAGCUGCGGUGAGAUCGAGCUGGAGGUGGCUGCGGUGGCCGGCUGCCGCGCGAGCUGCGCCUGAGAAGCUGGCCCGCGCGCGAGGCUCUAUGGGUCUCGGCCAAAAAGGGGCGGCGGCGCAAGCUGCGCUUGGUGGUUGGAGCCGCUGGUCGAUGGCGAGGAAGAGCAGGAAUGGGAGGCGGCGUGCGCAGAGGUGGGCGGCGCGAAUUGAAAAGAGAAGAAGAAAGAAAGAAAAAGAAAGAAAAGAAAGAAAAGAAAAUAAGAGAAAGAAAAAGAGAGAAAUUGUUUUUUUUUUUUUUUAUGAGGCUAUUUGAGCCACGGGAAUUUUUUUUUUUUAUUUUUUUUGAAAAAUUUUUUUUUUUUUUUUUUGAAAUUUGGAAACUAAAGCUACGGUGAUAAGAAAUGUUUAUUCUAUUUUUUUUGUUUUUGUUUUUGUUUUGGUUUUAAAAAUUUUUUUUAUUUUUUUUUUAAUUUUUUUUGCAAAUGUUAUUUUCGAAAUUUAAAAUUAGAGAUUAACCGAAAAUCAAUAACCGUUCUUGAGUUUUUUUGAAUACUUACCUUUCCCGCGAAUGUGACGUGGGCACGUCAUGAAGGCACGGAAUCUGGAGCUCUCCAUAUGACAUGACGCGGGCACGUCAUGAGGGCAUGAACCUCUUCUGAAGAUUCUGACCGUGAGCUUUUCAGAUGUCAUGACGCGGGCGCGUCAUGACAGAAAGACACCUACAAAUCAUCAAAAACGAAAAUUGAAACCCGAAAUCAGUCAAAUUCAAGGAAAACAUAUUUAAACUAUCACUUGAAAUCAAAACAAACAAUUAAAAGAAAUAAUUGGGUUGCCUCCCAAUGAGCGCCUUUCUUUAAUGUCUUUGGCUAGACAUGUCAUAUUUUCUCAGGGAGGACAAAAUCUUGUGGCUCGUCUUAAUGCUUCAUCCUCUAUAUAGUCCUGAUAACCCUCGCAAAUAGAAUAAUUCUUGAGCAUACGAGCUACGGGCUUCCAUGGACUAGUGAAUGGCGCCAAACGAGUCGAUGAUAAUUUGCAUUCUCCAUUCACUCCUCCCCCACUUGCAUUUAUUGGUUCAAGAUAUCUUGCCAUCUCCACUCUUAACUUAUUCCUGUCAUGAAAUUUUAAAUUUUCUGGUAUAAUAAAAUCAAUUUCAGUAACAGGAGUUGAAGAAUAGGAGUCAGGAAAAUAUUGAUUAAGGAGUGGAGAAGAUGUCACCGCAUUUGGAGAUUGUUCACUGGAUUCAUUCACUUGAACGAGUUGAUAUUGGAGUCUCAUUUCUUGCACUUCAGCUUCCUUUUCAACUGCAUCUUUAAAUCCGUUUUCUUGAAACUCUUGCAGUUCCAUGUCAUUUGGCAGGACAAUUGCACUCUCAUCUUCCUCAAGAUUGAUAUUGGUUUGUGUGGGCAAUUCUUCCAUUUGAGGAGCCAAUCGAUUUAUUCUGGAUGUCAAUAGACAUAGUUGAUCUGCCAGGUCGCGAAGGCUCGCUUGUGUCUCCUGAUGAAAUCGAUUUAGGCUCGCUUGUGCCUCCUGAUGAAAUCGAUUUGUAUUAGCAAUUAGUAAUUCAAUCAUUUCUUCAAGAGACAUACCUGACACGGAGGAUGAUUGCUGAGACUCUUGCUGUUGAAAAUCCAUUGGCCCGGUUGCAUAAUCAAAAUUGGAAUUAUCCCACCAUUCUUGAUCAUACCCGUUUGAAUAAGGGUCAUACUGCGUUUGAUAUUGGGGUGGAAAAUCUCCAAAAGUAUCAAGUGGAGAACUUAGAUUAUCUUGAAAUACGGGGCAUGUGUCAGUUGAAUAACCUGAGUCAAAAUAAGUUCCACAAUUUGCAACAGCCCAUUGAUCAUUAGAAAAAGCACAAGCUUCAUAACCCUUUCUAGAAAUAAAAUCCAGUCUAUCACUAAAAUACGGAAUGUUAGCAGCCAUAAACUAUAUAUAUAAUAAAAAAAAUAAGAGGAAAAUAAUUUAAAAAAAAAUGAACUCAAAAAGAAACUAAUUAAUCAGGCACCAGUCCCCGGCAACGGCGCCAAAAAUUGACAGGUCGUCAGCCUGUGCAAUAAUAAAACCUGUUCAAACUAAAAGUAAUUUCUGUAGAUAGCAGUAAGUAGGGUCGAAUCCACAGGGACUGGGAGUAAUUGUUCCUUUCCAAAUUCACAGUAACGAAGGGGGUGUUUUAUAUCAGGAGUGACAAUUUAAACAAUUCAACUAAAAAUAAAAUGAUAAAAGUAAAAUAGCCAACUAGAAAUUAAAUAACAAGUUACUAAAAUCUAAUAAGUGAUAAUCAAGGAUCUAGCCAAGAAAUAACUUCAGCAAUGGUUCACCUAAUUGAUCAUCGAUAAGCAAAGGCAAUUCCAAUUAUUCAUCAAUAAAUAGGUUAUAACUACCAAACAAGCGAUGGCAGUCAACCCCUCCUUACUGUGUCGGUGAUCAAGGUACGCCCGUUAAUCACUGCUCUAAUUGAGAAAUAAUCCUAGGUACGCCCAUAGAAUUUAAUUCCCCAAUUGCCUUACGUAUUAGAGGAGCCCUAUUCUAACCAAAUAACGCACUACCAGGGUUAUUUUAGAUUAGCCCGCGUAUUCCCAUGACACAAAUCUAAUCAUGCCAGUUGUCACUGUUUGAGGUAAUUAAACAAUUACGGAUUCAAUACCCCAAUUGACAAUAGAUUACCAAAUCAAUUAAUUAUCUGGAUCCAAGACAAUCAACUAAUUAAAUAACCAUAAGCAUAGUAAUCAGGGAAUACACGAAUACCAAUAAAUAAAAGGGAAAGAUUAAAUUAAAUCGAUCUCACAGUUUUCAGGUGACCCAAAGCAUCCGUCGUUUCUUGACUAGAACGAGGGGAUUAGCUCAUAUUGGAUGAACUAAGCCCGCGGGAAAUUUCAGCAGAAGUCACGGCCAUUGUAUGCAUUUCAAGAGCUGCAAUUCGUCAAACACUUAGUAAGCAAAUGUAAGGCACAGGUAACAAAUUGAAGCCCUUUAUUGUUCCUAGCAUCCGCAGAGCAAAAUCAUUCACAAGGUGUAAGAAGGAAAAGUCAAAGAAAGCUGACAAAAAGCUUCCUCCUCACAUUCGUACAUGUCUUAAGCCAAAAAGUAAAGUACAAGGGAAAAGUCAACAAUUUUCUUUGCUAAGCUAAAGACGAAAAGCUAAGAAUUCAGCCACCCUCCAUCUGAUCCUCUUUUCUUCUUCUUCUUGCGGCGGCUCACAGCAGGAAGAGAAGCCCUCUGUCCGUCAUUCCUUUGCGAAAAUUACCAAAAUGGGCGUGACAUCUUUUUUCCAAAAAUGACCCUGGGACAAGCUUUAUCAUCUGAAUUCUUUUCCAGUCAAUUUGGCACCUGUUAUCAUAUUUUCGUUCUACUCCCUGAAAUAUACGUAAAUUAAGAAAAAUGAGUAGAAUCCAGCAAUUAAUCCACAUCAAGUCAGGUGAUAGAGGAAAAUAAUAGUAAAAUAAAUAGAUAAAUUUCAGCCUAUCAGCUUGUACUAGUUAUGUAGAGCUUGUUGAGUAAUAAAGGAUGGUAAUGGAAGAAUGAAAGAUAAGUUGAGGUUGUUCUGGAAUAAUAAAGCUAUCUGAUGUGGGUAAAUGAAAAGAAAAAAUUUAUGAUGGAUUAUGGAGUUUUUUGUAUUUUGAAAGCUGCUCUUAGGCGUUCUUAUAUGACAAGGAAUAUUUUACUUCAUUAUUUAGAUUUUGAUGUUAGUAAGUAACAAUUAUGAUACUAAUAAUUAAUUUGGAUAAAACAAGAUGUCACUUGUGGUUGCACAUGACAUUGUAGUUCACUACAAUGGAAGAAGAACCAGGAUUCCCAAUGUGGAUCUUGAUAAGUAUUCUUAUAUAGAACUGUUGAAUGAUGUUUGUGAGAAAGCACUGCAUAAAUUACCUGGAAAUUUUAAUUAUUUGCUACAUGUGAGAUGUGGGAUUUCAAGAAGUGCUACAACAAUGGAUGUCAAUAAUGAUAAGGCAGUCAUGGAAAUGUUUAAGGUGCAUGAUAAUGAGCUGGUGAUUAAUUUGUUUGUGGACCAUAUGGAUGUAAUUCCAUUUAAUAUGCCUGAGGUGAACCACAAUAACAACUUUGGUGGUGGCCAAGAGAAUCUAGGAAUUGAGGAGACUACUGGAAAUGUUGAACCUAAUUUGCAAAAUAUUGAAAGGGAUGAUGAAGUGUUCAUUUCAAGUGAUGAUGAUUCUUGGUUGUAUGAAGCAAACAAUGACAAAGAGGAUAGCUUAAGCAAUUGCAGUGAGGUACAUGAAUCAUUUGAUAGGAGUGAUAUUGCCUUCUCAGAUUAUGAGGUGAAUGAUGAAGGUGAUAUAAUUCUGAAUUAUGAAUCUGAGGAAGAAAUUGAUCCAAAUAGGGCAGCUUUAAGAGCAAAAAUAUUCACCUAUAAUCCGAGAGUGGAUAUUGAAUUUGAGAAGAAUAUGUUAUUCACCAAUGUUGAUGCUUUUAGGGCUGCUUUGAAGGAUUAGGCAAUCCAGAAAGGUUUACCCAUAGUAAGACUGAAAAAUGAAAAGAAAAGGUGUACUGCUAAGUGUGAUGUUGAAGGCUGUCCAUGGAGAAUCCAUGCUUCUCCUGUUGGUGAAACAACUACUUUUCAAAUUAAGUCUUACACACCUCAACACACUUGUGUUAUGAACAAUAGGAAUGCGGAGGCUACAUCUGAUUAGAUUGCUAAGAAACUAGUUCCACUUCUUCAGAUCCAUCCUCAAAUGAAUACAGAAAGUGUCUAUGCUAAGAUUGUAUCAAAUAUGGUAUGCAUCCUAGCAAGAUGCAGAUUUGGAAAGCAAAGACAAGGGCAUUGGAAGAGAUACAGGAUACACACUAUGAGCCAUAUGCAAGCUUGCCCAAGUAUGUUGAGAAUGCAUCUGCAAGAUUCAGUUUGACAGACCAAAUCUCUUGGUGGAAACCAGAUUUCUGAGAAUUUUUAUUAGUUUCAAAGCACAAAAGGAUGGAUUUCUUAGAUAUUGCAAGCCAUUUGUUGGUUUUGAUGGUUGCCACCUCAAAGGACCAUAUGGAGGAAUGUUGCUUACUGUUGUGGCCUUGGACACUACAAGAAAAUUUCCCUAUUAUGGCAUACUUGUUAGGGCACUAUUUAAUAAAUGCCUCAAAUAAACACUUAUUAAGGCAUUUGGUAGUUUGUGCCAAAUUAGCACUUAUUAAUUAAAUAAAAAAAGACAAUGUAUAAGGGACAAAGCUUAUAAGAAAAACUGAAAACAAAAGAAUAUAAAGAAAAUAUUUAUAGAGGCAUUUUAGAGAUGUGCCUCAACAACUAUUAGAAGGAAAAACAAUUGUUUGAUGAAAAAAUAAAAAAAAAUUCCUCUAAAAUUGGCGCCUAAAAGAAGCGGCAAAAUUGUCCCAAAUCCCAAAUUUUGCAAGAUACAUUUUUUAUUUACCCAUCUUUCUCCCUCAGUCUCCUCUCGCAGUCUCCCUCUCGGUCCUCUACCAAUCUACCCCCAAAUUCUAAUCUAACACUUUAUUUUUCAUUUACCCAUCUCUUUCUCUCACUCUCUCUCUCUCUCGGCCCUCUACCCCCAAAUUGUUCUCCCAAUCUCUUUCCUCAAAAUUUUCCUAAAAAUCAUUGCCGGCUCUCACUAGCUCUCAUCCUCCCAAUCUCGUAACUGGAAGACAGCGGCGUCUCCCUUGCUGUGGCAUUGGCCUUGGCUAGUUCCUGUAAGCGGUUACUUUGUUAAUGAAUUUCAGUGAGCUAUCUUGUAAUUUUAUCUGCUGUUCUAUGGGGUGUUCUCUCUCUCUCUCUCUCUCUCUUUUUGGUUUCUUUUGGUCUUUAUGAAAUCUGAAUUUCUAUUCUAAGAAAAGGUGUGUCUGGUUUGUCUUUUUCCUUCCCAAUGAAUUGUUGAUCAUUCUGCUCGCAUUAGCCAAGGCUUUUCAAGUUUUAUUGGAUUUGAAGACAGGAAAAAGUUGAAAUUAUAGUUAUGCUUUUCAUCUCUAUCCUUAAUAUUGCUUAUUCUAUAUCAGGUUUCCAAAAUGGAAGCCUUGAGAGAAAUUGGCUUUUAUGAAUAGCUGUUGGAGCCUUAAUUAGGAAUAGACUGUAGUGCAUAGGCUUUUCUCUAACAUUUAGAACUAUAGCUCUUCACUUUAGUGCCUGAAGCAUAAUCUGUUUUAUUCUGAUAAUGGAGAGGAAGGAUGCGUAGUAGCUAUCAUGUAGUUACAUCAUUUUCGAUAUUAUACAAAGCUAUGUACAGCAUAUAAACAUAUCCACUUACUGAGGUAGCUACAGGUAAGUUUGGCUUGCCCAAAACUUAUCCAUUUUCACAAGCUCAUUUUCUAGUAAUGUUCUAGAAUGGUACAAUAAUAUAUCUACAUGAUAUAGAAAGAGAUUAUUGUGAAACAAAUAAAACGCUACCGAGGGAAACAUCUGUGAAGGAUUAUUGUGCAUUUUCGACUUUAACUAUCAAAAAUCAACAUAGAGAAUUUUUUUACCCCAAAAAAAGAUCAUAAUCCAUAUAUACUUUGUCACAUAGUACAAUUCUUCUUUUGGUUUGGGGUGUAGGGGUCAAGUAUUUGGUGAAAUUUGCACUACUUGAAUUUAAGAGAGGUAAAGGAUAUGGUUUACUCUCUUACCAGUGGUACCAUUAGAGAUAACAAACUAGAGCCAGAUGAGAGUCUUGGAGAGAAACAGAGCAAAAGUUGAGUUCUAAUCUCCCCAGCCUGCAAUGAAAAAAAUGAAAAACUCAACUACAUCAAAAUAAUACCAUCAAGAUAUUUUAAAAUGCUAUAGUAUCUGAAUUUGGUUUAUUUACUAGGAAUAACAUCCGAAGGGUAUGAACUACCAUGCCUCUUAUCAUCGAUAGGUCUAGUAUCACUAUGAAGUAAUACCUCUCUUGACAUCUCACGUUGUCAAGACAUGCUCUUGCUGUUACAUGUUUCACAAGUAUUCUUCUUCUCAAGCAUCCUAUAUAAUUUCAGGAAGCUCCCUUCAGAGGGAAGGAAGACAAAAAAAUUGCCCGAUUCUUAUAAUAGGCUAUGUAACUCAAUCGGAAAUAAAUCAAAUAUACAGCAAUUCAAAAUGAAAUAUUCAACAUGGAACUCAUAUCUGGUGCACAACAUUAUGGUGCUUGCAUACAAGUAAUGAUUGCAUUUUUUAACUCAAUUUCAUUAGCAUUUCCAACCGAGUUGAAUCUAUUUUAAUACAAUACAAAGUUAUGCAAGAUAAGUAUCUGAAAUGCUAUCAAAAUGGCUAACCUGUAGAGUGCAUUGAGCUAAAAGUACCAUGGAUGGCCCAAUAUUACUUGGUACUGUUGACUGACAGGGCUACAAAUGGAUAACAGACUUGUUUUCAUUUGGCUUACUUCUGCAGAUUAGAAUCUCUUAGAUAACUGUGACGAGGAAAUUUUUUCAAUGAAUUGCAGCAACAGCAAGCUCUGCUAUGCAAUUAAAGUCUCUUGUUUACAUAGAUAAGUGAGGAAAUAUGUGUUUCUUCUAUCCGUUUCCACUAUUUACAUAGAUAUCAUUCAUCAAUAGCCAACAUCAUACAAAUGACAUGAUAUCUUAUUAAGCACUGCAUAUCUGCCUUCAGUUUUAGGGUAUGCUGUAUCACCCUAAAACUAGUAAUGUUCAAUUGGUGCUCCUAUAGCUUGGCCAACAAAACUAGUAUGUUUUUCCUUUUCUAACUUUCAAAUUAUGUUAAUUGUUAAUAUCUCAUAUGUUUGUCUCAUUCGAUAAUUAUGAUGGAUUUUAAUACAUAAUAUACUUAUGCUAUAGGUAAAAAUUUGCGAAGAUUAAUGUGCUGAAAUUCAAAAGUGAAGAAGGUGUUGCAGCAUAUGGAUACUUAUCCAUUUAUAUGGAAGUGCUAUAACUGUAAAAGGACAAAGUGUUGCUGCAUAUAUUACAAGAAGUUGGUCUACUAGCAGUUUAGUUGAUUUUAGUUUAGCUGGUGCUAUUUAGGUGAAAUCGUUGGUUAUGAGUACUUUAAUUGUAAUCAUUGGUUAUGGUGAUAAUUUGAAAGUGGUUUUUCAAUCAAAUAUUGUUGGUUUUGGUCAUUGAAUGUGAGAUGUCCAAUAUUGCCGUUUGUUUCUAUUGAUACAACAGGAAUGUCAUAUUCACAGUAGUACCUGUGGCUAGGCAUAAAAAAGAAAAAAAAAAUCCAGUCUAUUGAGGCACUUGUAAGUGUCAUGAUAAGGGUUUUUUGUAGUAGAAAUUUUCUUGUUACGUAGCAGGUUUUUGAGGCAUUUUAAAACAUCUUUUAAAGGUUAAUAUAGAGGCACUUGCCAAUAUCUACAUUAAGAUAUAUAGUGACACAUUUGCGUGCCUCAAUAACAACUAUUUUCUGACAAAUACUAUUGUCUCAAUAACCUUGUUAUGGCACUUUUAGAUGUCUGAAUUGUUUUCUAUGUCAUGGCACUUAAUUGUGCCUUUAAAAGCUUUUGUGACAUAGGUUUUACAUGGCACACUAGGUAUGUGCCUCAAUAUAUUAAGUGCCUCAACAAGGUGUGACUUGUGACAUUUUGAUGUGCCUCUAUAAGUUGUUUUUCUUGUAGUGGGAUAGGAAUAAGAGCAUAUUCCCUCAUGCGAUUGUUGUGGUUGAAUGUGAAAACAAAGAGACUUGGUCAUAGUUCUUUCAUUUCUCUGAAGAAUACUUUGGUCCAUUUGAUAGCCAAUUGCCUCUAACAUUUAUGAGUGAUAGAAAAAAUGUACUUUUUGUUCUACUCACAAAUGUCCCAUUUCUACUAUCAUAUGACUUAACUGCCAAUCUUCUAUUUGCGCUAAUUAAAUUAUGUUAAAUGUGGGGUCUGAACUUAGCAUAUGAAGGACUGAUACCAUACACUAAUGCAAGAUACUACUGUAGGCAUAUUCAGAGUAACUUUAAACUGUCCUUUCGAGGGUAACUGCUUAGUAAUUACUUCUAAUAGGCAGCUAUUCAGAGUAACUUUAAACUGUCCUUUCGAGGGUAACUGCUUAGUAAUUACUUCUAAUAGGCAGCUAAGAGCUUUGAUGCAACUGGUCAUAAAGAGGUAAUGGAGAGAAUUAAAGAGAUAAAUAUUGAAGUUUGGAAAUACUUGACAAAGAUAUGGCUAACAGCUUGGGCGAUGAUUACGGUGAUGCACAUGUUUAGCUGCAUAGUCUACUUCAUUUAUGGUGGAUUUUUCUUUUCUUUUGCAGAUACAAUUGCCGCUAUUUAGCAACUUCAGAUUUUGUUUUACUGAAAAAUUAACACUUGUCUCACGGUAAUUGAGAAAUCUUCAAUCCUACAACUGUAAUGACCAUGAUAUCCUUUGGUUUUGUUAGUCUUAACAUGAAUAAUAAACGGAACGACCAACAAUAUACACAUUUUACAAGUUUGAUGAGUAAUUUGGCAUCUUUAAUAAUUGAAGGGCCAAAAGCAUACAAACUUAAUAAUUCAAGGGCCAUUUUAAGUUUUUUUGCCCUUUUCGAACUGAUACCUUGAAAUAUAGAUUUUAUUUCAUAAGUAUUCAGUACAUAGCACCUACCUCUCUUUUGCUGGUAAACAUAGCAAAAGGUCUUUUCCACGUAAUAUGUAAUGUUAUGUUACAAUCGUGGCGUAAGUAAUUUAAUUUAUUUAGGUAUCAUAGUCGAUCAACUUUAAAAGGAGAUUUCAAUCAACUUCUACGAAUUGGUUUCGCGGCCUCCAAUCAGGGAAUCCCAUACCCAUACCCAAUUGGGAUUCCCUCAGUCGGCUGACUGGGUUGAUAGGAUGGUAUCUUCUUUGUUGCAUACACUUUGCCAUUACUCCCGUAUUCAUCUGCAAUUUCAAAAGUACAGGAUAAAAAAUAAAUGAUCGCAGUUUCUGUCACAUUAGAAAAGAAUCUGAAGUUUAAACUUUAGUUGGUAUACUGUUUUGACUUUAUCCAAUUGUCUUCGAUUAUUGUGUGAUUUUUAUAAAACUUGGAAUGUACGCAGACACAUCGUUGUACUCCUUAAAAGAUUAUAUAUAUAUAUAUAUAUAUAUAUAUAUAUAUAUACACGAACAAAACCCACAUAAUCAGUAAAAUAAUAAUACAAAUCUACACCAAAUUAUGUAAAAAUGACAACAGAAGCACAUUACCGAACACACAGCCUUACCCACUCCAUCCCCACAGGUGGAAGAUGUAAACAUGAAUAAUUACAAAGACAAUUAAGACUUUUAAACGAUGAGUACAUAUAUACCAGUAAUCUUUUUUCUCUUCUCUUUUCUUUUUCUGAUCAUUUUUAUCAGUAAUUUAUAACUAUGAGAGAUGGAAUUUUAGAACUGCAAAAGUGGGACUUACUCGUCUCUAGGAUCUUUCUUGCUGAUGAAGGUACUAGGAUGGGUUGAGUUGAGAGAAAGAAGAGAAACAAAAGGGCAGUGAUCAGAGCCUUGUUGUUGCCAGCCAUGUUCGUUUGUUAUAGAGAGGGUUGAGAACUUAAGAUUGGUUCUAUUCU